UUGGGUACAAACAUCACAUGGCUUAAUUCAAAUGCAUCAGUAGUAGUAGGAUAAUUACCGCCAGGCGUGCGAUUGCAAGCGAUCAAGCAUCGAGGUAGGAAAAUUAAUUACCACAUGCACGUUCAUUAUUGUCCCCUGGCGACGAUCGGUCAAAAGGCCACCUCGGCGUUGGCAAACUCCUCUCUCUUCUGUGUCAUAUCCGCCACCAUCUCACCGAACCUGCGCGGCGGGCUGACCACCGGCACCGUGCCGCGAGCAGACUGUCCACCCACAGCACGCCCGCUGUGAAGUCCACUCACAUGCACGUCCUUGGACUUCUGUGCGAUGAUGACGGAGUUCACCACGUCGUCGUCUGGGUGGCACACGGCCAGCACCUCGAACCCGCCCAGGGUGAUGUCCUGGGGGUCGACGAUCGGGUACAGGAACCCGCGUGCCCCGUGUGCGCUGCGCACGACGAGGGCCGCCCCGUCUGCCAUGUGUGUACCGAGGUGUGCUAUCACCUUGGCCUUGUCCUCGGCGGCCAUGCCGACGAGCGCGGCCAGGAAGACCACGUCGUAUGUAGCGAGCUCGCCAGCGAGGUCCGCUACGUCGGCCGUGUGGAACGACAUGCGGGCGCCCAUGUCCUUGUCCGCGCGGAACAGCUUGCUGGCUCGGUCGUUGGCCGCGCCGCACAGGUCGUAGUUGCCGAACAUGGUGUUGGGCAGGUGGCGCGCGGCCAGGACGAAGGAGCUGAACGGCAGCGGGCCGGAGCCAAUGAACGCGACACGGGCCGGGGCAAUGCCUCCGGGCACGUAGCGCGCCAGGAGCUCGUACUCCAGCUUGCUGAGGUUGAUGUAGUUGCUGUAGUAGGGGAACAUGCCGAGGUGAUCCAGCGGGUUGUCAAAGGCGGCGAGCAUGUCGGAGUAGUGCGCCUCAAGCUUCCCCUCGGCCUCGGAGCAAAGGCGGAUGAGGCCCUCCCGCAUCUUCUGCGCCUCCGGGCCGAGCUUGGUCACGUCCACGGGGCUCGGGGGAACGCAAGCCGUGACCAGCUCGGUGAAGAGCGCGUCGACGUCCGGGCAUGGGCUGAGCGACGGCAGCUUGGCGAUGGCGGAGUGGAGCCCGGUGAUCUUCUCCACCAGGGCAUCCACCUCCUUGUUGUUCUGGGCAGCCAUUUUCCUCUUCUUGCUUGGUGGAGUGGAGUGGAGAGUGGCUGAUGGAGCUGCUUGCUUGAUGAGCAAUGGAGCGGGCAAGACGGGGUAUAUAUAUGUACCUGCCGUCUAUAGAGUAUGGCUGCCGGAAAAGGUGCGCAUGCAUGCACGCUUCACGCGUCCCUGCCCAAUGCAAUGAGGCUGGUUUCAUGCCUCGGUUGUGACCUCUUCACGUCCUGAUGUUGAAGUGGACAGCGUAUUCUAUGUCUUCCUUCCUGUACAUCGUUUCAAAAAACGAUGCAAUAAAUUCGUCUAGAAAAACUAUAUGGUAGUUAUCUAAACUCUUCAAAUUGCUUUGACUAUAGUGAGUUAAUAUUAGGAGAAGGGCUAGGUGCAAGAAUGUUUAACUCCACAAAUUUUAAAAAGGUUUGAUUUUGCUAUAUCUCAGGUGCCUGAAAAUUUUCUUCGCGUCGGUCACUUUCUCUAGUUCAUUCUGAGCUCGCCGGAGAAAGCCAUAGCCCCACUAUCUAUUUUAGGGGGAGUCACGGCCUCAUUAUCUAUCUUAGGGAUGGGGUGAAGGGAAUCGUCGGAGUUUUCACCGGUGGUGUGGGGCUUAGAAGGACGGCCGAGGCGGUGGGGCAACAACGGUGGUAGAGGGGGGUUGAGGGGGAGAGCGGGGCGGCGAGGCAGUGUACGGUAGCGCCCGCCGGCCACGGGGGAUGGAGGCAGGCGGAUGGGGCGAGAUAGGCUGCCGGGGGAGGAAAAACUGUCGUCGGGAGGAAGAAGCUAAACAGUCCGCAGCAUGAUUGAAGCCGUUGGAUAUUGAUCCGAUGGUCGGGAAAGAAAGUGACUCUUGAAAACAUUUUGUAGGCACCUGUUAAAUAGAUGGUCCCAAAAAUAUUAAUUAUAGAAGGUGAUUUGAGGAGUUAAGUUUAUGGAAAGGCUAGAAAUGCUUUUAGUGCUGAAAUGUUGGCUUUAAGACUACUCGUUCCCUGUGAAUAAGUGUACAUCUGCCUUUUGUACUAAGUCAAAGUUUUAUAAUUUUGACAAACUUUAUAGAAAAGAGUAGUAGCAUACAUGACAUCAAAUUGAUAUAUUAUGAAAGUACAUUUCAAAACGAAUCUAGCGAUGCGAAUUUAGAGCCAUAAAUGCUACUGGUUUUCCUAUAAAGUUGGUCAAUGUUUUUAAAAAUUUAAUUUAAGACAAGAGCUAGAUGUACAUUUAUUCAUUCGCGAGCGGAGGGAGCACCUUUUGAGACCAAUGGUUUGUGACGCCAAGAGAUGUUAACCUGCUUUUAUGCAAGGUGUGCAUCUCUAUGAAAUGGAGCUUGAUCGGGCAACUCCGUGCGUUCAAUUUUUCAUGCUAUUCCAUAAUUCGUAUGGCUUAGUUUUACCUAGCAAUUUAGUGCUGUGGAUAGCAGGAAUUCGAACAGUUUGUAAGCGUCGCUACUCAAAACCGAUUGAAAAGCUGGAGGUAAACAGACACCAACUCAUGUGGUAGAGUAACAACUUUGCGUCUCAUUGGACAUUACUGCUUAAUACUACUCCUUACUACGUACUACUUUGCCAAUCUCCAUCUCCACCGACAGAAGCAUCGCAGCUCCAUUAGUGCCAGUUGACAGUGGUGGAGUAAACCAGUCCAGGAACAGCUACUUAAUUAUCAUCUUACACCCUGCAUUGCCUCAUAAUAACCCCAGCCCAAACCAUCUCUUCGUCGAUCAUCCCCCGAGUAAAUACCACCAUAAUCCAAGGGGGCAAACCAAAAAGAAGCACCAAAAAGCAGAGACCCUCGCCAUCGCCGCCGGUUUCACGACGCCGCCGCUGCCUGCCUACAGGCAGAAGCAGCCGCCGUUGUACUUGCCGCCCUUCAUCUGCUCACCGACCUUCCUCACCGUCACCGACGACGGCGCGCACGGCGUCCACUCCGCCGCCAGCCGCACACUGGCCAGCCACCACCACCCACUCCCGCCGCCCUUGCCGCCCCCACGCUUCCUCCUCGACGAUGCCGCAGCCUGGGCGGCCUCCGCGGCGAGGCGCCGGUUCUCGGCGCGGAGCCGCUCGAUCUCGGCGACGCCGGCCUUGCGCUCGGCCUCCCAGGCGGCCAUGGCCUCGAAGCACUGCGGUUGCGGAGCUCCAGCCCGUACACCUGCGCCUGCAGCGCCUCGACCUUCCGCCCGAGCAUGCACGCACGAUGGUCGUCCCGCAGCUUCACGGCCAGCCGGGCCAGGUCGGCCGCGCGGCGCCGCGUGUAGCCGAGCUCGGUAAUUUUGCAAAACCAUCUAUGGUAGUUCAUGUGAUGAGAAUGAUCAUAUGCUCGCGAGGUGUUGGACACAAUGCCAGAUAGGUAAGUGUUUUGUAUUAUUAUUUUUUCUCAAAAUCUUGGAUCAUGUGAUAUUGAAAUUUGGUAAUGGUUUUUGACAUCGUACUAUGCAAAACGAGUUGGGUGGCCUGGAAAAAUUCAUGGCGCUGGAUGAAAGGAACGCCAUUGACCUCAACGACGUUGUCAUUUCUGUGGCAGAUGAAAGCCAAGGAGAGAGACAUAGUGCCAAAGUAGAGGGUAACCACACACAUACAAUGAAGAGGGAGCUAACAAGGUCGGUGAACUACAAGGUUGAGGAGGACAUAACUUUGUGCAAUGCUUGAAUGAACAUAUCUCUCUUGACGCCAGGGCUAGAGGAGCCAAUCAAACCAAGGAAAUGUUUUGGAGGUGGAUUAAGCAAUACUAUUAACACAAUGUUUUGAUUCCAUCCAAUCACACGCAAGGGUAUCUCUGCUCAUCGCUGAAGUAGCAUCCAAGAUCAGUGCAAUCGAUGGUCCGAUUGUGUUGAGCAGGUGAACAACUCACCGACAAGUGUAGUGCCAAUAACCGAGUAUGAAUGAAAGGAUGAGACAAGAUUGGUAAAUUGUUCCUGGAGAGAUCUUGGCAAGAUUGAGCUUCUUUGGUGGUUACACUAGUGGUAGUGGUGCCAAUGAGAAUAUUGUUGAGAACUUGAAAUGGUGUGGAAAUGCCUAUGCAGAAAGAUGGAUGAGAUAGGUAGAACAUAUAGUGAGUUAAGAUUAGGAGAAGGGCUAGGUGCAAGAAUGUUUAACUCCACAAAUUUUAAAAAGGUUUGAUUUUGCUAUAUCUCAGGUGCCUAAAAAAUUUCUUCGCGUCGGUCACUUUCUCUAGUUCAUUCUGAGCUCGCCGGAGAAAGCCAUAGCCCCACUAUCUAUUUUAGGGGGAGUCAUGACCCCAUUAUCGAUCUUACGAAUGGGGUUAAGGGAAUCGUCGGAGUUUUCACCAGUGGUGUGGGGCUUAGAAGGACGGCCGAGGCGGUGGGGCAGCAACGGUGGUAGAGGGGGGUUGAGCGGGAGAGCGGGGCGGCGAGGCAGUGUACGGUAGCGCCCGCCGGCCACGGGGGAUGGAGGCAGGCGGAUGGGGCGAGAUAGGCUGCCGGGGGAGGAGAAACUGUCGUCGCACUACAACAGGACUGCCCCUGUAGCAACGCAUCUUUCCGUAUCUAAAUGUUCAUAUAUGCGUUGCUAGUGACUUUACCAACGGUUUGGCAUGCAUAGCCUUAUCCGGUGUUGCUAGCACAUAAUGCAACGCCUAUGCUGCCGUUGGUAAAAAGAACCGAUGCAAGACUACAACGGAUGAGGCAGACUUUUACAACACUUCUAUAUGUUGGAACUUACUGUAUAGGAAUCAAUAUCCCAUUGCUCAACAACAAAGAAUUUCCAACGCUUCCAAGUGUUGGUACAUAUAUAGUGUGAAUAAUAUUAUAUUAUAUAUAUAUAUAUAUUGUUGAGCUUUUAUAUAUUUAUAGCUCUAGUGCAUCUGUUACAUGGCAAUCUCUACUCCCUGCAUUAACAUCAAUCGAUGGGCAUCUCCAUAGCUCAUUGAUUAGCCUCGUCGAUGUGAGACUUUCUCCUUUUUUUUGUCUUCUCCACAUAACCCCCAUCAUCAUAUUCUAUUCCACCCAUAGUGCUAUAUACAUGGCUCACGCUCAUGUAUUGCGUGAAGGUUGAAAAAGUUUGAGAUUACUAAAGUAUGAAACAAUUGCUUGGCUUGUCAUCGGGGUUGUGCAUAAUGAGAGCAUUCUUGUGUGACAAAAAUAGAGCAUGACUAAACUAUAUGAUUUUGUAGGGAUGAACUUUCUUUGGCCAUGUUAUUUUGAGAGGACAUAAUUGCUUAGUCAGUAUACCUGAAGUAUUAUUAUUUUUAUGUCAAUAUUGAACUUUUAUCUUGAAUCUUUCGGAUCUGAAUAUUCAUACCACAAUUAAGAAGAAUUACAUUGAAAUUAUGCCAAGUAGCAUUCCACAUCAAAAUUCUGUUUUUAUCAUUUACCUGCUCGAGGACGAGCAGGAAUUAAGCUUGGAGAUGCUUGAUACUUCUCCAACGUAUCUAUAAUUUUUGAUUGCUCUAUGCUAUACUAUCUUCUGUUUUGGACAUUAUUGGGCUUUAUUAUUCACUUUUAUAUUAUUUUUUGGACUAACCUAUUAACCGGAGGCCCAGCCAGAAUUGCUAUUUUUUGCCUAUUUCAGAGUUUCGCAGAAAAAGAAAAACAAACGGAGUCCAAACGGAAUGAAACCUUCGGGAACGUGAUUUUCGGAACGAACAUGAUCCAGAGGACUUGGACCCUACGUCAAGAAAGGUACCAGGAAGCCACGAGGUAGGGGGCGCGCCUACCCCCCUGGGUGCGCCCUCCACCCUUGUGGGCCCCACGUUGCUUCACCGACGUACUCCUUCCUCCUAUAUAUACCUACGUAUCCCCAAACGAUCAGAUACGGAGCCAAAAACCUAAUUCCACCACCGCAACCUUCUGUACCCACGAGAUCCCAUCUUGGGGCCUGUUUCGGAGCUCCACCGGAGGGGGCAUCGAUCACGGAGGGCUUCUACAUCAACACCAUAGCCUCUCCGAUGAAGUGUGAGUAGUUUACCUCAGACCUUCGGGUCCAUAGUUAUUAGCUAGAUGGCUUCCUCUCUCUUUUUGGAUCUCAAUACAAUGUCCUCUCCCUCUCUUGUGGAGAUCUAUUUGAUGUAAUCUUAUUUUGUGGUGUGUUUGUUGAGACCGAUGAAUUGUAGGUUUAUGAUCAAGUUUAUCUAUGAACAAUAUUUGAAUCUUCUGAAUUCUUUUAUGUAUGAUUGGUUAUCUUUGCAAGUCUCUUCGAAUUAUCAGUUUGGUUUGGCCUACUAGAUUGAUCUUUCUUGCAAUGGGAGAAGUGCUUAGCUUUGGGUUCAAUCUUGCGGUGUACUUUCCCAGUGACAGUAGGGGCAGCAAGGCACGUAUUGUAUUGUUGCCAUCGAGGAUAACAAGAUGGGGUUUUUAUCAUAUUGCAUGAAUUUAUCCCUCUACAUCAUGGCAUCUUGCUUAAAGCGUUACUCUGUUUUUAUGAACUUAAUACUCUAGAUGCAUGCUGGAUAGCGGUCGAUGUGUGGAGUAAUAGUAGUAGAUGCAGGCAGGAGUUGGUCUACUUGUCUCACGUGAUGCCUAUGUACAUGAUCAUACCUAGAUAUUCUCAUAACUAUGCUCAAUUAUGGCAAUUGCUCAACAGUAAUUUGUUGACCCACCGUAAAAUACUUAUGCUCUUGAGAGAAGCCACUAGUGAAACAUAUGGCCCCCGGGUCUAUUUUCCAUCAUAUUAAUCUUCCAACACUUAGUUAUUUCCGUUGCUCCUAUUUUACUUUGCAUCUUUAUCAUAAAAAUACCAAAAAUAUUAUCCUAUGAGUUAAAUGCACUGGAGGUCCUAAAAGUUUCGCCGUUGUGUCACUUUAGUCCUAUUUCUUUGAAAAUGCACCUUUAGGUAACAAUUCUUUCAUAAGUGAUUCACUUGAGGUCUUUUUAUUCACUAGCGCUCGCUGACAUUCCCUCGUGGUGCGUUGACCCAUGCCACGUCGACACAGGGGCUGCGGAGGCUGCUCUUUUUUUUACAAAAAACCCCUUAGAAACACUCUUCUUCACAUUCCCCGGUCCCUUGCUCUAUUUCUUCCCCAAAUCCCUCUCUGUCUCUCCCGUUCCCUAACCCUAGCCAUGGCCAGCACUUCAAGCUCCUCGGUGGGGAAGUAGUUGAAGAGGAGGAGCAUGGUAGCGCCGUCGUGAGCACCGCCGCCGCAGCCAGUGCAAGCUCCAACUUUGUCUGGUAUGUUGCUGCUCGUGGCUUGUCCUUGCUGCCAUGUCCGUGACACCAUUGUGCUCCGUUCGAAAUCUACUGCCAACCCUGGACGGGUGUUCUACAAGUGCCACAUCCAUAAGAAUACUCAAUUUUUCCAUCAAUAUAAGACUUGUUUGACCCAAAUCCACAAAACAGCCCACCAUAAUUGAUUUCAAUAGAAAACACUUCUUCAUUUGGUCCUAUCAUUACAAUGGAAACAAUUUGUCAAAUUUCAAUUGAUGUCUUGCAGCGAAAAAAUUACAAAAGAAGUGGUCUUUUGGAAUUUAGAACUGAAACUCUAACCCUAACCUCAAAUCAGAGCAUGCGGUUUCGGAAUCCUAAAUGUGACAGUGCAAAUCGAAGUAAAUCUAUGACUAUGGCACAGUCCUUGCAGAUUAGAGGCACUACAGGAGCAGAGGAACGACAAGAUUAGGGUUCUUAACGUAAGAUGGAGGAGGAUCGCCCACUGGCCAUCGCAGAGGGGGCAUCUUGACGGGCACUCGCUCACAUUGCCCUCAAGAUCACCUCCGGUCAUCGCCGCACGGAGGAAAUCGCCACCGCGUGCAGGAAAUCAUCGCCGGCGCCGAUCGCCUCCAGUAUCGCCAGAGUAGCCCCGAAAGAGGAGAUGGGAUUCCACUGAGAGGGGAAUAGAUCAGGAGGGGCUUAUUGUAAAAUUUCUUGGCUAGCGGAUGGGCCCUGUGUCGACGUGGCGUGGGUCAACGCGCCACGAGGGCAGGUCAGCGAGCGCUAGUGAAGAAAACGACCACGGGUGAACCACUUAGGAAAGAAUUGGGACCUAAAGGUGCAUUUUCAAAGAAAUAGGACUAAAGUGACACAACGACGAAACUUUUAGGACAUCCAGUGCAUUUAACUCUUAUCCUAUCAUAUCUAUUAGAUCCCACUCUCGUAAGUGACCGUGUAGGGAUUGUCAACCCCUUAUCGUGUUGGUUGUGAGGAUUUAUUUGUUUGUGUAGGUGCGAGGGACUCGCGCGUAGCCUCCUACUGGAUUGAUAACUUGGUUCUCAAAAACUGAGGGAAAUACUUACGCUACUUUACUGCAUCACCCUUUGCUCUUCAAGAGAAAACCAACGCAGUGCUCAAGAGGUAGCAUCCCCCUGCUGCUUUACAGGUCGACGCGGCUGCUCCUUCCCCGUAUGGCUCGUCUCCAUGACUGGCGCAUCCCCGCCCGCGCGUAGGUUGUGCCGCUCCCGUUCCCCGCUUGAGCGCCUCCCUGCCACGCCGCUCCCCGCUUGAGCGGGCCCUGCCGCGCCGCUUCAGUCCCUCCUGCCGCGCCGCUCCACUCCGGGUCCUGCCGCGCCGCUCCACUCCUAGAUCGGGUGCUCCUCCGCUAGAUCCCGCUGAGGUCGGGGUGCUUCUCCAGCCCUCUUCUUCUCGCGCCGGGCCGUGUCCUUCUCUGGCUGGCCGCCGCAUCGAGCUAGCUGCGGUCAAUCCGACCCCGCAUCGAGUGCGUUUCUGCCUCACGCCAGCUCUGCUCGAUCCAACUCAUAUCUUCCUUCGUUGACUCAAAAAAAAAACAAAGGCAGCAGAGAGACUUCCUCAUGUCCUCUUCGGGCUACAUCGCGGUCCCUCGGUGCUCGGUGAUCUCCGAUGGCACCAACUAUGUUGCGUUUGUGGGCUUCAUGUGCAUUCAUAUGCGUGGCCUUCUUCUGUGGGGUGUUCUUUCUGGCGAGGUCCCCUGUCCGCCAUGCCCUGUUGUGCCAGUGGCCCCAAUCCCACCGGUGCCGCCGGUCCUUGCUGCUGAUGCUUCUCAAGCUGACCGGGAUGGAGCCAAGGCUCUCGAUGAUGUUGCCAUCGAGGCUUAUGGCCAGCGGGUAUCAGCUUAUUCAGAUGCUCUCUAUGUGUACCGCGAUGGUCUGUCUACUUACACUCAAUGGUGCAAUGAUGAUGCUCGUGCUACUAUUGUUCUCACUGCGAGUGCCCUCCCUCAGUUUGCUUCGGAGUCCAUGGGACUUGGCACAGUUGCAGCGAUGUGGUCUUAUCUCUGUCAGCGCUAUCAGCCCUCUGGUGAUUCUCUCUACCUAUCUGUGGUGCGUCAGGAGCAUGCACUCCAGCAAGGUGAUUCCUCUGUUGAUGAGUUCUAUUCACAGUGCUCUGCCAUCUGGCGUCAGCUUGACUCUCUUCGGACAGUUGUUUGUGGGACUUGCCGCUACUGUCAGACUACGUGGUUCGAUUUGGAGUUUCGGCGGGUUCAUGAGUUCUUAUCUCGUCUUCGCUCUGAGUUCGAGCCUCGACGUGCCCACCUGCUUGCUCGUGGUCAUGUUCCUAUCUCAGAGGUGCUUGCUGAACUUCGUGCUAAGGAUACCCGCUUUUGCUCUGCUGGGUUACUUGUGAUUCCAUCAGUGUUGGCCGCAUGAGAUCCUGUGUCAUCUGCUCGUCUCACCGCGCUCUUCAGGGGGGUGAGUCGCCCUCCUUAUGUUGAGAAGGGUACGUCGCGCCGUGACACCUUAUGUGGUUACUGCUCCCGGUCAGGUCACCCAGAGUCUGAUUGUCACCAGAAGAAGCGAGACCAGAGGCGCUCCUCUUCCAGUGGGACUCCAGGGUCUUCCUCCACUCCGUCACUCACUGACCAGGACAUUGUACGCCUCAAGCGUCCACUUUCUUCCUAAGGCUCCUCGUCGACUGGUUCCGCUACUGCUGUGACUGCAUCCACUUCUCCACCACCGCAGGCAUCUACAUAGUCAGGUACAUCUUCGUGGGUUCUGGAUUCUGGAGCCUCCUUUCAUAUGUCUUCUUAUUUUCUCGUGUUGUCUUCUCUCCGACCUCUUGAUUUGUCGGUUAAUGUUCUUACCGCUGAUGGCACACCUCUUCCUGUUGCUAGUCGCGGUAUUCUUUCCACUCCUUCUUUUUCUAUUCCUAGUGUUUCACAUGUUCCUUGCCUUACCAUGAAUCUUUUUUCCGCUGCCCGACUUACUAAUUCCGGUUGUCGUGUCAUUCUUGAUACCGACUGUUGCUCCAUUCAGGAUCGUCGCACCAAGGCUUUGGUUGGUGUUGGCCCCGGCGCCGUGAGUCAGAGGGCCUUUGGGAGGUUGACUGGCUUUUUGUUCCUUCCGCUGCCACCACUUCUGCCAGCUCUCAUGCUCUGACUGCCUCUUCGUCUGCGUCCUUCCAGCAGUGGCAUCAUCGCCUUGGUCACAUCUGUGGCUCCAGCUUGUCUUGUUUAGUUCUUCAGGGCCUCUUAGGGUCUGUAUCUGGAGAUGUUUCUUUACAUUGUAAUGGUUGCAGACUUGGAAAACAGACCCAGUUACCUUAUCCUAUCAGUGAGUCGGUAUCUCAGCGUCCAUUUGACUUAUUUCAUUCCGAUGUCUGGGGUCCUGCUCCCUUUGAUUCGAAAGGUGGCCAUCGCUACUAUGUUUUGUUUAUUGAUGAUUUCUCUCGCUACACUUGGCUCUACUUCAUGAAAUCUCGUAGCGAGGUUCUCUCUAUAUAUAAACGUUUUGCUGACAUGGUUCACACCCUCCACGCCUAUUCGCACCUUUCGUGCUGACUCCUCUAGAGAGUUUAUCUCCCAGCUGUUGCGUGGUUUUCUCGCGGAACAGGGUACUCUGGCCCAGUUCACUUGUCCUGGUGCUCAUGCUCAGAAUGGUGUUGCGGAACGAAAGCAUCGUCAUUUGCUUGAGACGGCUCGUGCGCUGAUGAUUGCCGCUUCCCUUCCCCUACACUUUUGGGUUGAGGAUGUUUCUGCAUCCACCUACCUCAUCAACAUUCAGCCAUCGACUGCCCUGCAGGAUGGUAUUCCUAUGGAGUGUCUCAUUGGUCGUUCUCCUGACUACUCAGCCCUUCGUAUGUUUGGAUGUGUGUGUUAUGUCCUUCUUGCCCCGCGGGAACGCACCAAACUGACUGCUCAGUCGGUUGAGUGUGUUUUCCUUGGCUACAGUGACGAGUACAAGGGCUAUCGCUGUUGGGAUCUUGUUGGUCGUCUCUUGCGCAUCUCGCGUGAUGUAACCUUUGACGAGUCUCGCUCUUACUACCCACGUCCUUCUUCCUCGAGCUUCUUUGUGGAUGAUAUCUCUUUUCUCCUUCUCUCCGAUACACCUUGCUAUGUGCCUCAUAUUCCACCUCUUCCUCCUGCCCCUCUCAUUCCUUCUCAUUCACCACUGACACCAUCUUCCCCAUCCUCCUCCUCCACCUCUCCACCACCAUCUCCCGUCCGUCGCCCUCUCUCACCGUUUCCUCUCCACUAUACUCGUCUCCCUCGUUGUGAGGAUGCUUCUCUUGACACGCCUUCCACCUCUGGUGCACCUCCCCUCACUCCUCCCCCGGUUCAUAACCUCCGUACUCGGCCUCGCCCCCAGCCUGAUCGCUACUCCUGAUCGGUACGGUCUCUCUGUUAUUGCUGAGCCCACUUCGUAUCGGACUGCCAUGACUCAGCUUGAAUGGCAGCUUGCGAUGGCCGAAGAGCUUGCUGCCCUUGAGCGCUCUGGCACAUGGGAUCUGGCUUCCCUCCCUUCCGGUGUUCGUCCCAUCACCUGCAAGUGGGUCUACAAGAUUAAGACUCGCUCUGAUGGUUCUCUUGAGCGCUACAAAGCGCGUCUUGUGGCCCGUGGUUUUCAGCAGGAGCAGGGACGCGAUUAUGAUGAGACAUUCGCUCCUGUGGCCCACAUGACCACUGUCCGCACUCUUCUUGCUGUGGCUGCUGUUCGUCAUUGGUCUAUCUCCCAACUUGAUAUUCAGAAUGACUUUCUCAAUGACGAGUUGCGUGAGGAGGUUUAUAUGCAGCCACCACCGGGGUACUAUGCUCCUGAUGAUAUGGUCUGUAGACUUCGCCGCUCCCUCUAUGGUCUUAAACAGGCCCCUCGCGCCUGGUUCGAGCGCUUCGCCUUUGUCAUGACUGUCGUUGGUUUCUUGCCCAGUGAUCAUGAUCCUGCAUUGUUUGUUCAAACGUCUCCUCGUGGUCGGACUGUUCUCCUUCUCUAUGUUGAUGACAUGAUCAUCACUUGUGACGACUCUGACUACAUUGCUUUUGUUAAGGCUCGCCUUCGUGACCAGUUCCUCAUGACCGAUCUUGGUCCACUUCGCUAUUUUCUUGGGAUUGAGAUCUCCUUGACCUCUGAUGGCUUCUACAUCUCACAAGAAAAAUAUAUUCAGGAUCUUCUUGCUCGCGCUGCUCUCGGUGAUGAGCGCACAGUUGUGACUCCUAUGGAGCUCAACGUUCAGCUUCGUGCCUCUGAUGGUGAACCUCUUUCUAAUCUCACUCGCUGUCGUCACCUUGUUGGCAGCCUUGUAUAUCUUGCUGUUACGCGUCCUAACAUCUCCUAUCCUGUCCGCAUCCUGAGUUAGUUUGUUUCAGCCCCCACCUCUGUCCACUAUAAUCAUCUCCUCCGUGUUCUACUGUAUCUUCGUGGGACGAUCUCUUGGCGCCUUUUCUUUCCCCGCUCCAGCUCUCUUCAGCUCCAGGCCUACUCUGAUGCUACCUGGGCUAGUGAUCCCUCUAAUCUACGCUUGAUGCCUGCUUAUUGUGUCUUUCUUGGUGGCUCUCUUAUUGCCUGGAAGACAAAGAAACAGACUGCAGUUUCUCGCUCGAGUACAGAGGCUGAGUUGCGAGCCAUGGCUAUGUUGACGGCUGAGGUGAUCUUGUUACAGUGGUUACUUGAGGAUUUUGGUGUGUCUGCUACUACCUCGACUCCCUUACUGUCAGACAGUACCGGUGCUAUCAGUAUUGCGCAUGACCGAGUGAAGCAUGAGCUCACCAAGCACAUCGGUGUGGAUGCCCAUUUUGUGUGUGCUGCUGUGCAGGAUCAGACUCUCGCUCUUCACUAUGUGCCCUCUGAGUUACAGUUGGCUGACUUCUUCACGAAGGCACAGACUCAAGCGCAGCAUGGCUUUUUUCUCUCCAAACUCAGUGUUGUUAAUCCACCAUGAGUUUGAGGGGGGUGUUAGAUGUGUAUAGUCUCUUUUCGGUAUAUCCCCAUUGUAUAAGGGGUUUCAUGCACUUUACCACACAUGUAAAUGUAAUGGCCUUUGGCCUUCGGUAAAGAUCGGUUGCUCAUUAUCUAACAAUUAAAACCCUUAAAACUAUUACCAACAUCAUAUCGAUGAAUGCCUUAAUUAAUUACUAUAGUGGUAAACUUAAGAACCGAAUGUGCAAUCCAUCGUCCAGCUAGCAGGAGUAUAUAUAUGGUAUGACGAUGGAACUUGCAUGCACGCUCGAUGAUGCAUAUAUAAUCAAGUUGCGACCCAUGACGCCGUCAUGUGCCCUAUAAUUUGGAAGCUGGGACGUGGGGCGUAACUAGUGAGAUACCGUUGCCCGAGGACAGUAGUCUCGGCGACCUGUGGCGGCAGCAACCGGCCCUAGCAGCAAGGUUGAGAGAACCGUGUGCGGCGUAGGAGCAAGAGGUUAGCUUUUCUGCCUGCUUUAUUGAUCACGUGGGGGUGGCUAUGUAUAUAUAGCCAAUUACAAUUGAGGAAACAGACUUGGACUAUUGUUGGAAUUGGAUCCUGUCGGCAGGGUAACCUUCUUCGGGACAAAACCUUUCCGACUUAGGAACCGAACUCCCACUCUAACUCUAGAUGAACUCAGCAAGUUCUAGACUCGGACAAGAACUAGGGUGCAACAUGGCCCCUACGCGUUUGGCCUCACAUGACAGAUGCACUGAAUUAUGUAGCUCAAGGGUAAUAAGAAGAGACAUCACCAUGUGUCAUCAUAGGUGCCUCCUCGUUUACAAUGCAAGGCACACCAAAGCUGCCGUCUCCUUGUGUUGUGGCAGGAAACUCUUGGCCGUCCUCGAGGAAUUUCAUUGCAUCCUCCAUGGAAGGUCGUUGUGCCUCUGCUGAGUGAGAACACUUGAGGCCAAGGACAACCACACGCUCCAUCUCGGUACGGUCAAAGAAGCGUAACCUUUCAUCCACAACACCAUCCACAUGAACUUGCUGCUCACUGCCACCGCGCAUCUGCCAGACUUCCUCCCUUGAUUUUUGUGUACGUGCAAUCUUUAGUAGGACGAUCCCGAAGCUGUAUACGUCCGACUUACGGCUGAACUCCACAGCCCCGUCUUUCAUGAGAUGUGGAUCCAUGUAUCCCACUGACCCCACGGCGGUUGUGACCACUGUCGCUCUGUUUUUGCUGGCGAUCAUGGAUAGCCCGAAGUCCCCAAGCUUAGCGUUGAAAUACUCAUUCAAGAGUAUGUUGCCAGGCUUGAUAUCUCUAUGCAGGAUGCAUGGAUUGCACUCGUGGUGGAGGUAAUGAAGAGCUGACCCUAUGCCCUUCACUAUUUUGUACCUAUUGCAAACAUUAGCAAGCGAAAUGUUCAGACAUCAGUCAUGUUUAUCUUCUGGUUCCUGAAUAAUAAAAUACCUAUUUUUUAUGUGCCAUAGAUUUUUUUUUCUUACUCACUCCAAGAAUUACAAAUUGGCAAGUCAAUUUUUCAUUCCAUUAUGAUACCAUUCAGAAAAAUCCUUGACUUGAAUCAACCAUGGGGAAACACAUGCAAAACCCUGCCUGAUUAUCACUGCAUAGGGAAGACCUAUAAUCGUAUCUUAACCAUUGAUCGACAGUAUUACAUUUUGGGAAAUAAUAACUCCGGUAAUUCCUUCCUUUAAAAGAGACAUCGUAUAGAACCAUGAGUAAUAGUUCAACUAAUAAAUCAUAGUAAAUAUUAUGUACCUAGUCCCUAUAGCAACACAAGCAGGAAUAUAAAAUAUUUAGUCUUUUGGAACAUGGGUAUGUGGUUAACAGAAUGUUGCAGGCUUGGCGUCACCAAUUAUUGAUGGUACAUUUAAUUUGAAUAAUACGGAAAAACAAUAUUAUUUUGGAGUAUUAUAUCAGCGGAAGUUCCAUCAUAUUCAAAGUUCAAUGAAAAACAAAGGGAACAAGGAUGUAACAACCAUGCAUAUAACUUAACAUAUACAGAUUUCACCAAUCAAAAGUUUUCCAUUUCAUAGAACGAUAAGCAUUGAUGAUGGUGUGUUUAAAUAUUAUCAGCUGGAUCCUUUUCAAGUACAAGGGAUUCUAGUCCGUUUACUAAUCUUAACUCCUAGGACAUAACAAAUCACCAUGGCCCUCAAAUCAAAAAGUAUGAAUGGAUUACAAUAGUUUAGAAGCACACCUUACCAAAUCUGAAUUUUUCAGUAGACAUUUUGAUAAUCGCUACUGGAUUUGAGCAGUUUGCAGAGUGCCCAGGACACUCGGCAAACGUCGAAAACCACACGGCAAAGGAUUUAUCAAGUGCUCCCGCUCGGCAUAGAACAAGCCGACAAAGGGGUCUUUGUUGAGUGUUUUUCAUUGGCAACAAAAUACAUUUCAUGUAACAAAACCUUAGAAACUCCUUUUUUUCACUAUUGUUUGGCAUGGAAAGAUGCACCUUUGUGCCAAGUAUGGGCGCAUUAUUAUGAACUAUUCCAUGUAUAUGGCCAUGACCAUGGUCAUUUGGUUUGAAAGCCAUAAUGUUCAUAUAUGAUAGUCCAUUUUAUGAUUUGUUUUUAGAAAAUAUGUCAAAAUCCAUGUUUAUCAUUUUUUUUUCUGAAAACUACAAUACAUAAGUUAACUUCAUGUGGGAUUGCAUUUCUUUUUUUUUUUGAAUUUUUCUUCAUUUUAUUUGUUUUUUUUGAAACGGGGUCUUAAUCGUCGGCAAAACUAUUCAUAGCAAAGGUAUGGCGCUUUCAACACCAGUCUUGACUAUUGCAUAGAUCCUACUUACAUACCAUAAGAACACAUUUGUGUGAGGUGUCUAAUAUGGGAAAAUGAUAAAAAAUAUGAAUACUUCGAAUCGGCAUUUAAUAUGGUAUACUUUGUGUGAGGUGUCAUUUUACAAAGUAUUAUUUGCACUUGCUUCACAAAAAACCCAUUUUUUAUGCUUCGAAAAAUUAUAUACUUUGUGUGAGGUGUCAUUUUACAAAGUAUUAUUUGCACUUGCUUCACAAAAAACCCAUUUUUGAUGCUUCAAAAAAUUAUAUAUAUAUACUUUGUGUGAGGUGUCAUUUUUGAUGCUUCGAAAAAUAACUAUUCUAAUCCNNNNNNNNNNNNNNNNNNNNNNNNNNNNNNNNNNNNNNNNNNNNNNNNNNNNNNNNNNNNNNNNNNNNNNNNNNNNNNNNNNNNNNNNNNNNNNNNNNNNNNNNNNNNNNNNNNNNNNNNNNNNNNNNNNNNNNNNNNNNNNNNNNNNNNNNNNNNNNNNNNNNNNNNNNNNNNNNNNNNNNNNNNNNNNNNNNNNNNNNNNNNNNNNNNNNNNNNNNNNNNNNNNNNNNNNNNNNNNNNNNNNNNNNNNNNNNNNNNNNNNNNNNNNNNNNNNNNNNNNNNNNNNNNNNNNNNNNNNNNNNNNNNNNNNNNNNNNNNNNNNNNNNNNNNNNNNNNNNNNNNNNNNNNNNNNNNNNNNNNNNNNNNNNNNNNNNNNNNNNNNNNNNNNNNNNNNNNNNNNNNNACCACCCAUCUGGCGGCGCCGCUGCAACCGCCGCCAACCAACCUCCCCUGGUCGGGAUCUUGCGGCCGCGCGACAGCCACCAACCCGCGUCGCAACCGCCGGGAUCCUGCCUCCGCGCGACCUUCCUCCACCUGCCGCCGCGACCUUCCUCCACUUGCGGUCGUGACCUGCAGCGGCCACGACCCUCCCCGCGGCGACGCCACCGUCCAUCGCCCAGUGGUGCAGCACACAACUCACGGAGAUCCCCAUCGCCGCUGACCGUCCGGCGAACUUCCCUGCCACCUUGCGGUGGACCUCUCCUUGCUGGUAACCUGCUCCGACGACCUUUGCCGGCCUACUUCAACCCCGCUCGUGGGCAGUCCGCGCGGGCAGCCAUCUCUCAUCGAUUUGUCUCAUAGUCAUCCAGCACAGCACUUGUGUUUCAAGGCUGGCCACCUAUUCCAUGUUGAGUAUGCAGUGAUGUAUCCUGCAUGAAGUUGUAGCAGGUUGACGUUGUUUCCUCUCUAGGAAGACAUGGCACUGUUCGUGUGUGCUGUACUGCAUACGAGCAUAUCUAGCUCUAUUUUUUGCAAGUGUGUAAUGUGUUAGUUGAUGUGUUUCGUUGAUUUAGUCAACUAUGUUUGCAAAAUUUCUUUUUUCAUAACUUGGUAUGCAUCAGUUUUAGAGAUAUGUGUUCAAGUGUACAACAAUUUCCGCCUACAGAGGAUAAAUGCUUGGCGUGAGAAACACAAUUGUUGUUGGUGAUCCACCAAGAUAUGUGUGCGUGUGUGAUUAUGCAUCAUUUUUUCUUUAGUUCACAUGGGGAUCACAUGAGAAGUCCAACUAUUAAAAAGAACAGAGUUCAGAUAUAGUAAAAAUGUGAAGGAACAGAGUUCAGAGUAAAUACGAGCAUAUGAAGCUAUGUUUUCUUUGUUACUAGUACUAUUCACUGUUCAAUAUUUCAAUGUGAAGGAAUUGUCACUGCAAGUAUUUGAUAUACGUGCUAGUGUGGCUGUUUUGCUAGUCUAGAAACUAGUUGAGGAAAGUUGACGUAGUCUUGUUGUCUAGAGAUGGCCAAGACUUGGGCUUGGUUCACGGCCUAGUUUCGCUUCGCAAGCAACUCUGCUCCCGCUUCACACGUAAUCUCUACAACAGUUGCUACUCUGAACAUACACGUACAGCUCAUGUAAAUAAAUGAGAAGUCCAACUAUUAAAAAGAACAGAGUUCGGAUAUAACAAAAUGAGUAAAAUUAGUGUAAACUAAAAAAUGAGAAAAAUGUGAUGAAUCAAAAAUUUAAAAACUCAGAUUUUUGUCGUUCCUAAAGAGUAAAAUGAAGAAGUUCAAAUUAAAAUAAAAAGAGCAACUAAAAAAGUUUAAAAAUAGAAAUUUCUUGUUUAUUAAUAAAUUAGAAGUUCAAACUAAAAUAACAAAGUGGUUUGAUGUUUAUUAAAAAAUCUAGGAUUUUACCUUUUUAAGAAACGCAAACAUCUGUUAUUAUUAAAGUAUCAACCACGAAGUUCAAAAAAUUGGAUAAAAAGUCAGAUUUGAAGUAUAUAUAAAAAUCAAAAAGAAUUCUUUACUAAAAAAUAAAAAUGUGAAGUUCAAUUUGAAAUAACAUAGAAGUUUGAACAAUGUAAAAAACUCAGAUUUGUUGCAAGAAGUUCACGUGCACCCCCGUGCAUGGUUCCGAAUUUAUAUUGUGGGAUGUCCGACCUCCAAUUACAUGUUUUAAAAAUGACAAAAAAUGACGUCGGACCUCCAAUUGUGUGUAAUUCGACAUAUACACAAAAAUGUGAUAGAAGUUCGUAGUGAAAACAGUGAGAAGUUCAAGUACUGCAAGGAAUGCAUUUCAGGUGAGAAUAGAAGUAUAGAAAAAUAAAAGCUUAAAAAGUUUGUUGCCAGAAGUUCAAGUGCUCUGUCCGGGGAAUUUCAAAAAUUCUUGCGAGAGAGGUUCACCUUGUAUUUCCAUGUUCGAUUUUUUCCAUAUAAAAAUUGAAUACAAUUCUUUACUCAAAAUAUGAAAAGGUGAAGUUCAAAUUGAAAUAACAGAGAAGUUCGGAGUUUAUUAAAACAUAGGAUUUACCUGUUAAAAAAAUAAAAAACACAAGCUAUUUUUUGCACUUUUAGAAACAACUCAUAUACGAAAAAAUGGUAGCUAGAAGUUCAAGUGCUCGGCGAGGAAAAGUUUAAAAAAUUCUUGUGAGAGAGCUUCACCGUGUAUUUAGAUGUCGAAAAUACAAAAAAAUAUAUGUUGUUUUUUGUGUUUUAAAAUAAUUCUCUCAAACCAGAGAGAAGUUCAGAGUGAUAACGAUCGGAAGUUCACGUACUACAUGGUGUGUAUUUCAUAUAAUAAAAAUACAAUAAAGUGAAACUGAGUGAAGUUCAACCAGAAAUGACCCAGAAGUUCAACUACUUCACGCGGUGCAAAAAACAGCACGUCAAAAAACAGAGUAAAGUUCAAACAAACAUGCCCCAAAAGUUCAACUACUUCAUAUAGUGCAUUUUCGUUCGCGAUGAACGCAUAAAUCAUGAUCUCGCCAUUUUUUAAUUUACCUCAAAACGACAGGAAUAUCAUUUGUGUAAGUUCAAGUCCUCGGUCGGAGAAAGUUAAAAAAAUUAUUAUGAGAGACGUUUGUGCAAAAGGAAUAUUAUUUGUGUAACACUAACGAAUGGAUGAGAAAAUUACAAACAAAAAUACGUCACAGAAGUUCAACGUGAAAACAGCAGGAAGUUCAACUACUACGCUGAAUGAAUUUUAGAUGAAAAACUUUUAAAAUCGUUGCGAAUAUGAAAAGAUGAUCAACACGGGAAACUUGCGUGCUUACAGCAGCUUUCCAUCGGUAUAUCACCUGCUCAAUUCCGGUGAAUGGAUGGAGAGUUACGAGCAGUGGAUGGAGACCUACGAGCAAAAAAAUCACGUUAAAAACAGAGUGAAGUUCAGGUACGCGCGCCGAGAAGUUCAGGUUGUUCACACGGUGCAUUUUCGAAGAAUCUGUUUCGCGAUAAAGGCAGAACGCAUGAUCUCUCUGUUUUUGAAAUUACUUGAAAACGGCUAGAAAUCAGAGAAAACCAUCAACAUGAAAAAGUUUCGCAUUUUUCGUAGCUUUUCAGUGUUAUAUUAUUUGCCCAUUCCGAUAAAGUUUGUAGAAAUUAUGGUAAAAAUACGUUUUUAGCCAUUUGCAAAACUGACAUAACCGUAAUUAAUUAGGAGAAACAAUAUAUACAAAAAAGUUUCGCAUUUCUUCAAGCUUUCCAACGCCAUAUUAUUUGCUGCAUUUGGACAUACAGUUAAAAAAUUAGCUCGAAAAUACGAACUCGGUGGAACUUGUACCGUUUUCUAAAUUACUUUUAAACCGUUCAAAAUUAGAAAAACUUUUAACAUGAAAAAUUAGCGCAUUUUCAUAAGCUUUCCAACGCCAUAUUAUUUGCCUCAAUUAGAUUAGCCGUUUAAAAAUGACAUCGAAAAUACGAACUCGGGUGUUCCGUUUGCGAAAUUCUACGAUUUUCCGAAUUACUCUUUAACCGUAGGGAAUUAGAGAAAUCUUUCAACAUGUGGAAGGAGCGGUUUUGCAGCAGCUUUCCAACGCCAUAUUAUUUGCCUCAUUCCGAUAAACGGUUUAAAAAUGUGAUCAAAAAUAUGAUUCACGUUUUUUGUACGAAGAAAAAACGAGUUUCAAAACUGCUCUUAAACCACUUACAUUUUGCCAAAAUUUUAAUUUGGGUCAUGAUACUGGUGUGCAUAACUUUCCAACGGUAUAUAGCGAGCCCCAUUUGGACAUCUUUUAGCUGAAGUUCAACCUAGCACACGGGGAAGGUCAGGCGCGUUACUCGGGAAGUUCAUGUUGUGGUCAGAAUAUUAUUCUGAUCCCGUGAUCAGAAUAGUGUUUAUGUAUAUAUAUAUAUAUAUAUAUAUAUAUAUAUAUAUAUAUAUAUAUAUAUAUAUAUAUAUAUAUAUAUAUAGGUGCGCUAAAGUGAGCCUGAGCGCAAUGCGCUUAUUCUACGCUCUGGCCUAACAAUGCGCAACCAACCAGAAAACAUGCGCGUGGCUAGUGCCUUGGCCUCCAAUUUUUCUUCCACCUACUAGUAAUCAGCCAUGUUGGAUAUAGUAACUGAAUUAAUUCGGUUACUGGCUGCAGCAAUGGUUCACCGCUCUGCCACAAUUUUUUUAUUAUAUGCGUCCUCCUGAUUACAUAUAGUAAUCAUCCAUGGAAAAUGUAGUAAAAUAUUAACUUGAUUACCGUGUGCUUGUGAUGGUUCAUCACCUCAGCAUAGUUUUGCUUUAUUACUUGUCUGCGCCAAUCACACAUGGUAAUCAACCAUGUAAAGUAUAGUAACAUAAUUUAUUGGGUUACUGGUUGCACAAAAGCUACCAUUUUAUGUCAGAGAAUUAAGGAGUGGUGUGUGGCAUCUCGUAAUAGAUCUCGUAAUAGAUCUAGUCCGUUACCAUAUGUGCCAGUUCUUUUACCAUGCAUAAUGGUACAAGAUGUUGGGUGUAGUGCGGUUGCAUGCAAUCUCGUAAAGCUAUUUGUUCCAUUACCAUAUUUCUAACCUUUUUACUGUCAUUAGCAAAUAGAAACCCGCGGGGCGGAGGUCGGCGGUGGGAGUGGUAACUGAAUUAAAUCCAUUUCUACAAGCGAUAUUACCAUCAAUUGCCGAAGCGUGUGGAGGUGGGGUUGAUUAGUGUGACCCGAGCGUACGAUUACCAGUUUUGCAUUAUAACUCGUAACUAGAUAACCAUAAUGAUCAAUUUUAUUACUGUGUGCAUUGGCUGGGUCGAUCAAAUCUUGGACAAUAGUAAAGGAUAUAACACCUUUACUAGAAAGUAAAAAGGGCAUUACGAUCAAACCUGUAGCACUAGUAGUACAUAGUAAAUGGCAUACUCCCUCCCUCCUUUAAAGAGUGUACUUUCAACUUUGUUGGGUAGUCAAACUAUCUCAAAGUUUGACUGGGUUUGUGCAAAAAAAUAUCAAUAUUUAUGAAACCAAAUAGGUAUAUGAUGAAAAUAUAUUUUAUCAUGAAUCUAAUGCUACUAAUUUAAUGGCGUAAAUAUUGAUGUAUUAUUGUUGAAAUAUGGUCAAACAUAAAAAAGUUUGACUUUCCAACAAAGGUGGAAGUACCCUCUUUAAAGGACGGAGGGAGUAGCACUUUACUACAAAUGGGAGUAAGCAUUACCGUCAAAAUGGCACAUAGUAAAUGGCAUAGCACUUUUACUACGGAUAGUAGUAAGCAUUACCAUCAAAUUAGGAAAGUGGUGGAUGGUGUGCGUGGGUUGGCUGGCUUGGCAGGUUGCGUGAUUAAGCCGGAGCGUAGAAUAAACCAUUAUGCGCGCACGCGCAGUUUAUAUAUAUAACUCAUCUUGGCACUAUUGUUUGGCAUCAAAAUAUGCACCUUUGUGCCAAAUAUGGGCACAUUUUCAUGAACAAUGCCAUGGAUAUGUGCAUGACAUGGGCAUUUGGCUUGAAAGUCAUGAAUGUUCAUACAUGGUAGUCCAUUUUUUGAAAGUUUUUUAUGUCAAAAUCCAUUUAUAUCAUUUUUCCUAACCACUAAGUACACAUAAAACAACUCCAUGUGAAAGUAUAGCAUUAUAUUUUUUUUCUUCAUUUUUUUCAUAAUGGGGGUCAGUAUCAUCGGUGAAACUAUUCAUUGCAAGGGCCUAGAUCUUUCAACACCAUGUUUUUGUAUCGCAUAGAAUCCUAGUUAGACACAGAAAAAUGAUUUUUUUGGAAAAAUUGGACUACACUAGAACAUACUUUUAGUUCAAAUUUGAAUUACUUUCGGAAUAUUGGCCAAAACUCAUUUAAAUGGGCGAAAAUAGAUAGAAAGCGAGAAAAUUCUUAAUAGUUGUGAAUUGUCCAUCUAAUAUAGUCUACUUUGUGUGAAAAUUGGAGAGGCAGCAUUUUUUGGAACUUAGAAAAUAUAAAAAUAUUUUUUGUAACAAAAAGUUAGAAACUUGUUUUGGCAAUAUUGUUUCAGAUGGAAAGCUGCCCUCUAUACAAAAAAUGUGGCCACAUUAUCAUGAUCGAUGCCAUGGAUAUGGAAUUAAACAAAAUUGCCGAGAGCCAAACCGGGAGCACUCAACAGAGCUAACUGAUCGCCUCCUUCCCGUCAACCACGAUGGGCGGAACAUGUGUCCCCCACCUUUGUUGAGUGUAUUUCUUUUUAUUUUACCUUUUUACUAUUGUUUGUCAGAAAACACUUGGCAAAGAUCUCCUUUGUUGAGUGCCAUUUAAAAAGCACUCGACAAAUGAGUUUUUCUGUAGUGAAUGUGAAAUAUUCGAUAAUAACAUUCCAUGUAUCAAUAUGACAGUAUGUAACACCAUCAAUGUAACUGAGCACUAGAGACAUGAAAGAAUUAGUUUCUCUAGUGAACAAAGUAAUCAAGACUUUUUAUGAAUCAACAUAGCAAGAGGAAGCUUAACAAUAUAGUUUUUUCAUAUCUUAGAUGGUGAGACGUACUAUAGAAGAUUAAGCUAGUACCGCAUGUGGUGUUCAUGCGGGGCAAUGCUGGAGCUGAGAUCAUUUUCAUUCAACGUAAAAAUUUCUCUUUCUGUUAUAACUCUUUAGCUACUUUUAUCUCAUCCCUUAAUAUCUCCACAAUUCAAUUUUUUGGGGGAAAUUCAAAAUAUCUAAAGGUUUUACUAAGUUUACACAAAAAUAUACCAAUAUCCAUGGAAUCGAGUAGAUUUAUUAUAAAAAUAAAUUUUAUGAUAAAUGUAAUACACUAAUUUGGUGCCAUAAAUGUUAGUGUUUUCAUAUGAUCUAUGUGAAACUUACGAUAGUUUGACUUUCAAUUAAAGCUGGUUUGAGAUGAAUGGAGGAGAAGCUAAGGUUUGCAUAAUAAUUUUGUUUCAAAAAAUUAUACAUGUUAAGAGCGAGAGAUAAAAGCUUAAUAGUGUUCCUUAUGGUGUUUGACUUAUGCACUUCCUCUCCCACCACCCUUGGCACUAACUAAUUCAAUAUUUUGACCAGGUUUUCGGGAAAAUGCAUGUACCAGAAUGUAAAAGACAGAAUCAGUUCCAUUAGAUAAAUCAUAAAAAAUCAUUAAAAUUCAGUUUUGUUGCUCCAAAUACAUACCUUUUGUCCCAUGAUAGAACUUGGUCGUUGUUGUGCAGGUGGUGUUCAAGGUCGCCAUUAGAUAUGAACUCAAAGACGAGGAAGAGUUCAACCUUGAUAACCCUUUUCCACCAAGUCUUGCCAUCGAUCACUCUGACUUUGCCGCACCAUCCUUUGAGGUCAACUAGAUUCUCGUGCCUCGUGUUACCAACUGUCUGGAGCUCGCGAUGGAAUUCCUCAAGCUUUCCCUCUGCUUUAAUUCUCUUCACGGCCACUUCCUGGCCCUUGAACGUCGCCUUAUAUACUGCUCCGAACAUACCCUCUCCAAGAAGAGCAUCUCUGGAGAAUCUGUUCGUGGCGCAAGCUAGAUCACUAUAACUGAAUUCCAUAAAGCCAUUCGCCCCUGACGAGAGGGAAUUGCGUGCGCUUCUCCAGUAACACCAUGUUGUAACGAGAUACACAAGAACGCUUAGAACGGGUACAACUACUUUUACAAUGUUAAUUACUUUUGAUGUCGUAACCCCAGGAUCCCCUGAAAGAAAUUAAGGAAGUAUAUUACUAAAUAAAAGGUGCUCAGUUCAAGGUAAAAAAAGUUCUAGCAAUUCCAAUCGAAAAUUUUACGUGAGUAUUAAGUAGUACUACUGUAUACACUCAUAGUAUGUAUUAAUUGCAAUUUCUUUAUUUUCCUUUACUACAAAGAUGUUUCAGUUCGCUAGGUUGUGUCUUGCCUACCCAUGCAUUCAACAUUUAGUUUAUAAGCUUGUCCUAUUUUCGAAUCUCUGGAUCUAUGUUUAUUUUCAAUAGCCCGAAGCAGUUCCUAACUUGCUACACCUGCCUCAUCACUGGGUGUCUGGGUAUCCACCGCAAGUCUUUCCACUUAUGAACCUCGCUGUUAACGUUAAGGCUAUGCCAUCAUAAGUUGCUACUACAUGCAAGGAUCUUAUUGAAGUCCAGAAAUAGGAAAGUAUAGAUCAAAACGCCGACUCGACAAAAUUUGGUGCUAUCAAAGUGUCCACUAAGUUCACGGGCUCAAGAUGAGCGGACUCGAACAGCUGACAUCCGUCAUAGAGUAAACCACCCCCUAUCAUGCCUCGCCAACGGGUUCUACCAUAGAGUCCAAUGAUAGACAAUAACUAUGCCUUGCUGAACACGUCUUAAUACUACGACUUCAGUUGUACUUUCUCUCCAAAGUGAAACUCCUCUCAAAAUCUCAAGACAAAAGAGCUUAAUUGGAAUCCCAUUCUAAGGAUUCAUGUGGUUCCGCAGAAUCCAACAACACGAGAACCAAGAAUGGUGAGAUCUUCCAAGUGAGUUUGAUUUAAUGGUUUUAGUGUUUGUUCCUUCAUUUGAUCGGGUUAUCAGCUUUGUUCUCCUAUGAGAUUGUGCAAAUUUUGUAUGUUAAAUAAUAUACAACAUCAACAUGUUUCUUCCUUAACUGCACUGACAUGAUAGCAGUUUGCCUAUGAUACCGUUGUAAGAUGCAACCAUUGGCACGUGCAAAUUUAUUACAUAGAUUUUGGACCACUUUUCUUUUAAGAUAUGGGGUACAAGAAUCAAGUGCGAGGCAAUUUUUAUCAAAACAUUCUUUGCUCUGUAACCAUUAGACAACUUCUUCAACCUAGUUUCUCAAAAAAAAAACUUCUUCAACCUCUCACUUCUAUUAACCUUGGUGGCCACUAAGGGAGCUUUCCUCUUCUUUUUUCACAUAAAUGAUAGGAAUUGUGGAGUGAAAACCAAUCUCCGUAACAUUUUUUUUUGGAGGCUUCUGGAGUUCAAAACCCUUGGGUUGCAUCUACGUAGGUAAUACUAAGAGAACAUACAUGUGGAACUUUAACAUGGUAAGCAUGAGGGAGAUGGAACACCUGUUAACAACAGAUGAUUCUUCCCCAAUAUCCUUAAGAAUGUUCCAUACUUUGGAAACAAGGAGAGUUUUUGUCCAGUUAAAAUCUAAAUGAGGAGGGAAACUAGCAAGCAAUCUAAACCUGUUGAUUCUCCUUUCUGGAUAGGACUCGUGAGAGUCAAAGAGGAGUUCUUUAGUAAGAUGGGGUUUUACUAUUAGAAACGGUACUAGUACUGAUUUUUGGGAAGAUACGUGGUAAGGACGCAACAAAUAAAUGUUUCGGUUUCGACUGUUUUAUCCGUAGUGACGUUGAAUACUCAAUUUCGUCGAUGCCAAACAAACCUCACCAGUUAAACAGAACUUAACUGGUGAUAAAUGAACUGCUUGGUUACACUUAGUUAGUGGUUGACGAUGAUUCAUCUUUCUGAUGACCAUUAUAGGUUUGUUUGGAAUCUGAUAGCCUUAGGAACCUUUACUGUGAAACCUAUGUGUGUGGACCUUAUGAAUGGCCAUACUAGAUUUUUACGUAAAUACAUGUGGAAACUAAAAGUAUCAUUGAUGACUAAGAUUUCAUGUGGUUCUUACAUGGGAUGGUUUUGGUAAGAAAAAUUGUAAUGUGUCUGGAAAGUGUUGCUUUUGCGACUAUGAUGUAUAUAUUGAGCAUUUGCUCCUUGCAUGUCCUUUUUCCUCAUCUUGUUUGGAGGAUAGUUCAUACAAAAUAUAAUUUACCUCCACCAACAAAUAUCACAAAUAUGUUUGGGAAUUGGUGACAUGGGGUUAGCAAAAACAUAAAUCUCAAUUUCGUGUUGGACAGAAUGACAUUAUUUUUAACAAGACUAUGUACUGCAUCCGUUUAUGGUCCUAUCUCAUUCUUGUGGAGCAGCUGGAGCCUUUGGAUAUUUUUUGGAGAUGUCUGGAGACGGUCGCACAAGAUAUCUUCAACCAGGGUGGAUGGUGGUCCAUUAAUAGAAUAGAUGAUACAUAGGCACUUUAUGUUUGUUCUAUUCUGGCAGGUGAUUUCUUUAUCCACUUUAUAUGAUCCAUGAAGUAUAAUACUCUUGAGUUUAUGUUGCAAUAAAAUGACCAUGUGCAUCGCUUUGAUACAGAGCCCAGGAUAUGCCCCCUUUAAAAAAUGCUUCAAGCGAGGCGGGGCACAACCACGGUUUUGGUUACCGGAUGAUAUUUUUACUUGGGGGUAGUAGGGUGGAGGGUUGGUAUUUAUGAUUACCACGGUUACCGGGAAAUUACCGCCCAAAAUAUUCAAAUGAAAUUGGAAUUCAUUUUUUCAGAAACCUUAAAUUAGCUUUAAAAAUCCGACAGGGCAUAACAUUGGUGGUAACGCAGCGGUAUGGCCCCUCUGUUCAUCUACCCUCCUAAUUAUCUGGUUUUGUGUUCGAGACUUGGUGACCGGGGUGCUUAGGAAACAUGAUUACUGGAAGUAACCAGAUUACAUCCGAGUAACCCAAAUCCUGGGCCCGGCACAACGCAAAAGCACACAUGUGUACAUCACCUUUGGGCAAUUUCCUAUCGAUAUUCAAACACUUGAUGUAUUAGUGGAUGGUAGACUCUUAGAUGGAGAGAUUGGUUGGCUAUAUCAUACGUUUUGGCAUUCUGAAACUUUCAUAUUUUUGUGUUUGUUUUGCUAUAAAAUAUCAUCACAACAUGAACCAGCAACCAGAAGACAUGUUGUUAUCCAAAGACGCGAGUUACGUCAAAGCUCGAAGAGUCUUGCAUUGACAAUCAAUGUUGAUUUGUUUUAAAACGUCCUAAAUCUGGCCUCAAAUGGAAAAGAGUGCUCAAUAUGAACUUUCUGCUCCUCAUAGAGACGAACAAUUUCGCUGUCUAGAUCAUUUCAACCAGAGAUCAUAUGCGGCCUCUGAGCCAAACAAGGAUUAGUGCAGAAGAUGCAGUAGAGUUUUGAGGACUAAUAGUAUCUCCUCUGAUUAUAUUAGUGGAAGAGAUCUCACUAUUUGGAGCGAGUUUCGGAGUAAGUUGGCAUACCUCCACCCUGCAAUCUUCUUUUCCUAUGUGCUGAGUUAUAAUGUACCCUGGACCAUGUGCCCAUUCCUGGGUCAAGUAAGGUACUUAGUUGCAGCAAAUUAAUUAAUCAAAUGAUUAGAGACUAUUAAGAAAGUAUAUAAAUUAAAUAGACACGUACACGUCCGUACCUUGGAAUAGCGGGAUAUCAAGAAUGUGGCCUUGGCGAAUCAGCAGCUGGCUGCUAGUGAUAUUAUUGAUCCUGAGCAGCGUUGACUCCCGCAGCCCAUACUUGGCGGCGAUCUGGGAGAUAUUGUCGCCUGCGCGGACGAUCACAUAGGCAAGGUGCAUCACGUGGGAGCCGUCCACCUUGUCGCAGCUGCAGGGCAGCGGCCUCCGCCCAUAGUAUUUGCCCGCGGCAACGUUGUUGGCGGUGACGACCUCCAUGAAGUAGUCAUCGCCACGGCCGCCGGUGUACAUAUCCAGGUCCGACUGGCCCAGGCCGCCGGCGCAGCGGCACCUGAAGGGGAUGCGCACGGCUGUUUUCGCGGGAAUGGCUUGGCUGGUGUCGGUGUGGGGCGGGAGUUGGUUGGCGGCGAGGAGGUGGUGAAGGGUGGCGGUGGGGCUGAAGCGGGAAGCGAGUUGCUCGUAGGUGGUGGCGUUGGGGACGACGUAGGCGACGGCGGAUCGGCAUGUGCUCGGUUUGGCGCAGGUGAAGCUGGCGGCGGAGGCCGAGGAGGCUGCGGCCCAGAGCAGGAGGAGCAGGGCGGCCAGCGGCGGCAUAGUUCACUCGCUGGCCAGCGUCCGACCACUACGAGAGAGGUACUCCGGGCGUGGCAGGAGGAGGAAGAUUAAUAAUGCUAGGCCUUAUCCCGGAACGGCCGCCGUGCAUCUCUCACGUCGCCCUCCCAUUCGACUCACAUUCCUAGGCCUACCUAGUGUAGUACUACGUACAACAGAGACAAAACAAAACAAGAGCCAACAUGCAUGACCCGUGCCAAGACCGCAAGCCCUGAUCCUUCGUUUGCUAGCUAGACCCGCCGGCCGUGUCAAGACCGCCAGCAAGCGCGUCCAGCCUCAGGCCUCAAACAAAACAAACCCUCUACUCGGGCGACGACUUUGCCGAGUGGUCACGUACCAAGCCGACAUCUUAUUGAUGAACAUUCCAAGUCAUCACGCCGAGCGUAACAAGCGGACAUCCUGGACAAGUCACAAACACCAUCGUGGUCCUUCUCGAACCUUCAGGUACAGUCGUCCCUUAUUUUUCCCCGGCGAUGUUUGUUCAGGGCAGAGCUUGAUGGUAACACAUGGGAGACAAGUUCUAUACAGGUUCAGGCCCUCAGAAAGAGCUAACACCGUGCUCAUUUUUCUUCCAGCUCUUUAAUUAUUGUCUUCAUAUGCCGGGUGUGAUCUCAAAAGGGGGCCCCUGACAUCUCUAGGGUUUGUGGAUUGUCCAAUGAGUUGAGUCGUAUCAAUCUUGCUAACGUUCGCAUAUUGUCGUUGUUUUGUCUCGAACAUAUUGCAUGUUAGGGCAUUUCUAAACAAUCCCUUAUAACCCGUUAGAGGAGUAAAAAUGCGGUUUCACUCCUCUAACCGGGACCUAACUGAUCCCUUAUCUGCCGUAUGUGAGUAAAACUUUUACUUGCGCCCUAAAUUUCUCCUAUAUUUACUCCACCGCUGGGCGGCUGAAUAAAUGCCGCAUCUCUCCUACACUGCCUCCCCCUCCCGUCCCGCGCCGCAUCUGAGCCGGCCCCACCCCUCCCACUGCACAUGGAAGUGUUUUUUUUUGGGAGCGACUACGUGUAAGUCGACUGAUUCUUAUUUUUGGGUCAGUCGACAAACAACACUUGUGUAUAGUAGCCGGUUCAUUCCAGCCUGAUUCGCUAUGCAUGCACACAUUUCACACGCGUGCAUGAUAUGCAUGCAUGUAUCUAUGCAUGCAUGUACGCAUAAUGCAUUCUGCAUGCAUAUGCAUGGACACAUGAUACAAUUGUCCUCCUUUUCAUCCAAACUAUUUUGUGGUACGUAAUAAUUGUAUGCUUGGAAUUUCGCAAAAAAAAUGUAUCCUUGGAUGCUCCUUUGUAUGCCUGCUCUUGUCGUUGAGCCGAGGAGUCAAGCAAGUUGCACUCCUACACCAUCAACCGUACACCUCACCACCACCACCCCCUCAGAAACAAAAUAAAUAAUGAUAAAACUUGCACACGAUAUGUAAGGAAAUUUUGUUUUUUUUACAAUAUGCAAGAAUAAAUAUAUGUUAGUGGAACUUUUGCAAAAAAGAUGUUUUCUCAGAAGAAAUGAAUUAGUGGAGGUAAUAAUGCCCUUAAAGAAGAAACAAAAACAUAGAAGCAAAAAAAUCAUAAUAAUGAAGUAUUCUCAGCUAAAAUGAAUCAUUGACCUUUAAUACUACCCUUGAAGAAGAAAGAAAAUAAAUAAAUAAACUGAACAUUGGCAGUACCCUUUCAGAAGAAAGGCAGUAUAAAACAAGCAAUGGCAAACUUGGCACGCAAUUUACACAGAAAUUGCGCUUUGUUAUAAUAUACAAAAAUAAAGUUAUUACCUUAAAGAAACAAAAUAAAAUAAAAUAGAAAUUAAAAUGAAAACAAAAUAAUGAUUUUUUGUAGGGAAGAAUAAAACCCUUUAAGAAGAAAGAACAAAAUGAAUUUCCUAGGAAAGAUUGAAACCCUUUAAGAAGAAAUAAAAUAAAAAAACAAAAUAAUGAAGUUUCCAACGGAAGAAUGAAACACUUUAAGCAGAAAGAAAAUAAAAAACGAAAACAAAAUAGUGAAGUUUUCUAUGGAAGAAUGAAAUCCUUUAAGAAAACAAAUUACAAAAACUGAAACUAAAACAGAAUAAUGAAGUUUUCUAUGUAAGAAUGAAACCCUUUAAGAAGAAAGAAAAUAUAAAAACCUAACUUGCACACAAGUAUGCCCUAAAAUUGCAGUUUUCUAAUAUGGCAAAAGUAAGUGUAUACAAUGCAAUUUUUGCUUCUACUAUAAUUUACACACACGGUGUAUCAUACUUGCGUGUAUACUUACUUACAAACACAAAAAUAAAAAUAAUUUUUUUCUAAGAAGAAAUGAAGUAUAGUGGCAUUGGUACCACCCUUUAAAAAGAAAGGAACUAACAAAAUGAUAGAAUUUGCACAUAAUUUAAACAUAAAUUCUAAUUUUUUAGUUAUGUAAGAAUAAACACAUUAUAGUGAGUUUUACAUAGAAAUGAAAUUUUUAGACAAGGAAUGAAUAAGUGGCAUUGGUAUCGUCCUUAAAAACAGGAAAUGAAUUAAGAACUAAACAUAAUAAAAGAAAUAAAUUUUCUAAGAGAGAAUAAAUUAGUGACAUUGGUAUUACUCUUAAGAAGAAAGAGAUUAAAGAAAAAACUUGCACACAACUUUGCACUGAAAUUGCAUUUUUUAUAAUAUGCAGCGAAUACACACAUUAUAAUGCAACUUUAGCAGUCUAGUAUAAUUUACACACAUAUUGUAUAGUACUUUCAUGCAUAGAUACACAUAACAAUAGAAAAAUGUAUUUAAUUAGCAAAAAAUAGCACAAAACAAUUAGCAUUGGUAUUACCCUUAAAGAAUAUAUGAAAUGAAAAAAAAAACAAAAUUUUCCACACAAUUAGCACAAAAAAUACACUUUUAUGAUAUGUAGAAUAAAUAUAUAAGAGUGAAGUCUUCAUACUCUAAUGUAUUUGUACAUGUAGUACUUGCAUCUAUACAUUUUCACGCACUCAACAUCUGAAAACACACGUAAAAAAACUCAACUGAAAAAUAAAAAAUUAAAGCAUACACGCGCAGAAAACAAAAGCAAACACAUGAAAAAAAGCAUGCGCCCACCAAAAUCCAGCCCAAGAAGGAAAUCGACUGACCCAAAUAGGAAUCGAAUCCAAACAGCUCAAUACCACCAGCAAAACAUGGCAGAAAAAAGAAAAGCUAGACAAAUCUUAAAGCACAAUCCAAGGGCCAGAAAAUCGGUUGACCACAAAACAAAAAUUCAUCUGACUGAAAUCUAGCUAAAGUUGUUUUUUUUCUUUUUGAAACCUGUACGUGGAAGUGUUGACAAUGAUGAAUUUCAGUUCACAAAUAGUAUUAGUGGAUUCGGUGUCACACUCGUUCAGGAACGGAAGUACCUUUGUUCGAUUGUCAAGUUGAGAGACGACAUAUGUGAGACCCUUAGGCAGAGUAGAGGGCUUAGGCCUUGGGAUAUCUCCAACGAGUCGACGUAAACGGUCACCGAUUUGAUCCCUUUUUGUCUUGGAUCGAGCCUUUGUGCGGGUCAGGCCCCGUCCGUGUUUUGCUGAUCAGUGCGCCCAAUCGGCCGACGGACUUCGUCCGCGCGGCCCAUAUGCGGCCAUAUUUGAACACAAGUUUUGCAUACAAAUAUGAACAUUGCCCAAAGUCUAAAUCACAUAGUUUUCAAGCAAAUAUAAAUCUCAUAGGUUGCAAACCACGUGAAAAAAGACCACUAACGCCCGCAAGAGCGGCCAUCGGGUGCGGUGUGCAACUGGGGGAGGUGUGUGGGUGCAAGCGGCAGCCUGGGUAGCGUUCAACCGUCAGCGAUGAUGGCGGGGUGGCCGGGUGUCUCGGUUGUGGAUGGGAAAGGGGGAGAAUGGCCGAUGUACCCCGGCGGGCGGGCUACGGGGAAGACAAAGACGGACGUCACACGCGGCCGUGCCGUGUCCGCGCCGGUGCAAAGCCGUUCCAAAUUUGGACCGAAAAUGGGUCACGGGUGAACAAAAAGUGGACACUCGUCCAUUGGCGUCAGCAUGUUGGGCCGAUAUUUCUGUCUGUUUCGACCCAAAGGGAUGUGCGAGGACAAAAUGUGCCGAUGCAUUGGAUUUGCCCUUACACACGUCACACACCAAAUCUAAAUCUUCCCACGCAUUCCCAUACUUCUUUUCUUGUGUUGUUAGGGCAUCUCCAAAGCUGACCUGCAAAUGUCUCCGGUAUUUGUCUAUUUUUAUAUCCCGACAAGAUCCGCAUAUAUGAUGCGGGAGGGAGGCAUCCAAUGGGAGGAGAAAAACUAGAUGGGGGCCAUGCAUGUGGUGAGAUAUUUGUAGUUUAUUGUCCGCAUGGCAUGAGAGAGGGGGAGGGGGACCAUGCAUGUGCGCUUAGGUGGAGAGAGAGAGAAGAGAGGGACCAUGCUUGUAAUUACUCAAGUACUUGUCUGGACUCCGGCAUAGCUCCCCAUGUUUGUCUCUUGGAUAACGAUCGGUACGUCCAGAUUGCUAAGAGGACAUAUACAGGUUCUCGUUACAUGGCAAAAGUGGUUCAGAGACAGUAGUUCGAACAUAUAGCGAAGAUUUGAGGGUCCGCUUUGGACAUGCCUUACAAGACAAUGCAAUUCAAAGAAAAUUGAGUUGGAAAAUCAAAGAACAAAGAACAAGUACGAAGGAAAGAAAAUGGUUCGCAUAGAGGGAGCUUGAGGGAACUCCGAAGUGGGCAGGCCCAAGAGGGAGUGCCAAUUGAGUAAGCUCAACAAUUUGAUGCACAAGGAGAACCAAAAUAGGGGAGCACUUAUGCCUCGCUUUUAGCGAGACCAUAGAAGGUCUCGCUAAAGGACCGCCCACCCAACAGCAAAUAAUGGGCCUGUCCAAAUUUUAGGUUAGUUUCAUUUUUCCAUGUUUCUUCAUUCUUUUUUACUUUAAUUUAUAUAUUUCAUAUAUAUUAAAAAUGUAUCUAUUCCUAAAACUAAUUUACUUCAAAAAAUAAAAUUUGAAAAUUGUUAAUGCAGUGUAAAUAUUCUGAUAGCAUAACUUAUAAAAAAAUGUCCCCGGUGUUUAAUAAAAAUGUAUGAUUUGUACAAAAAAAAGUAGACAUCAAAAAAAUAUAAGUUGUUUUGAGGGGUGUAAAAAACAAUAUUUGGAAAAUGUUAAGCAAGGAUAUGAAACAUGUUAAGCUUGUAUAAAAUAUAUUUUUGAUAUAUACCAGAGAUGUACAAUGUGUAAGAAUACAAUAGAAAUCCAAAUAUAUAUUUUAAAAAUGUUAAUCAUGUAUUUAGAAACUGUUAAACAUGUAUUAGAAAAAUGUUCUUGACUUAAGCUAUGUAUUUUAAAUUAUGCUAUGUAUGAGGCAAACGUAGUAGGAAUGGACUGUUACUUAUGUGAUGUAUGAUGCUAAUGAGAAAGCGUUGUCGAAUAAUGCAAUUAAGUUGUUUAAAUGAGUGUUUGAAACGUGUUUGUUUAUUAAAAAAACUGUAGUUGAUUCUUUUAGGGUGUUAAGUUAGGGCAUCCUCUAGCUGAGCAAAAGUUUAAUCACCCCAAAUAUUUGACUUUUUGAGAUAGGGAGAAGGUUUGAGAGGAAUUAUGUUUACUAGAUUGGUAUCGCGCCUUGGCGCGAGGGUGCCGUCCCCAACGUUUUGGUCCAUCGGAUAUGAUAAUGGGUUUGGAAUACUACUGAUUUUGGAGUGUUGAAAGCUUUCAUAAAUGGGAAAGUAUUUACAUAAAAUGCAUUCAGAUACAUAUAAAAAUUGGUUUCUUUGUCAUACAUAGACAUGAUGACACAAUCAUAAUAUACACAUGAGUUAAAUAAUAAGUCUUGGCAGGUACAAAAGAUUCAGAAGGACCUUAUAUUAUAGUGCUUGCCAAUGUUAGGGAUUAACGCUGGUCACAUCCAUGCCAAGGUGGGCUUCAGGUCAGAGAGUGAUGCAACUGGCAACGUCCUCUACUUCUGCUCCAGGGCAACCCUCCUUGCGUGUCCACUUGCUUGAUGGUAUCCUUUGACUGCAGAUCAUCCAAAUCUCCUGUUAGAUUCAAAGCCUUGUUAGAUUCAAGUAUUAUUUUUUUUACAUUGGGCAGUUGCAUAUGAUUUUAUAUGACCCGUGUAUCAAAAAGAUAUUACAUGCUAGGACAAAAAACGCCAAUGCUAUUCUUGAAGCACCUAUUAAAUGUUUCAACAAAAACUGCGACAUGAAGAUUAGUUGAUGUCCUCAAAGAGGUCAUAGAAGAAUCUUAGUGACAAACAAAGGAGAAAGAAGAUGAACAAUUCAAUAAAUUUUAGAUGUAAAAAAGAAUGCAUGCUGGCAUUGUUGUAGUGCAGUGACACUUUUUUAGAACAGAUAGUCAUCUGCAGUUACACACAUAAGUGUUUAGCAACAAUCAUAAUUUGCACUGGAAUACAUAAUACAAACAAGUAGUGUAUGAAUAUUCAGCUAAAAGAACCAGUCAUGGGAUAAACAGGCACCAGUGUCACUACCAGUCCAAAGAUUGCAUCAGCCUCAAUGAAAUUGCUCACACUCUUCGGCCUUGCAGACAACACUGCAAGAAGAGGCUUUGUAACUCAACCACAUCAUCUAUACAAAGGGCAAAAGGAAAAGGAAAGCAAAUUGUGUGUACACAUACACUGGAAGACAGUGCGGACCAGUUCCUAAUGCUUCUCUUGGUCCUACAGCCAUCGGUUAAUCCGUGAGCAGGAGAACAGAGAAAAACAAAGUGCAUAGCUUAGUCUCUAAGGCAUUUCAUCAAGCACGAAAAGAUCUAAAGAUGAAGCAGUUCUGGAUUUGGGUUGGGAAAAUCGCCGAGCAAUUAUGACCAGGCUACAGCAAUAAGUCCUUGCCAACGUGUAAAUUAUCCAGUCUAGUAAAUGGAAUACUUUCGUAAAUAACCUGCCCUGUUUUUUUAGUAAUCCGCUAUUAAUCCAGGACAAAGUGAAAUGGCAAGGUCUUCAGAAACAACCAGCCGACAGUCUCAAAUUGGAGGCCUGAAUUAAAGAAGGAUCUUCAACUACUUCAACACAAGAUCAAAGACAAGCAUUCCACCUUGUUCAAGCAAUGGCUGCCAGAUAAUUUUGAAAUGAUUCUCAUGUUGCCAAAAACUGAAAUUGGAUAAGGGCUCUGCCCCAUUAGGCUAGAUAUUUUUUCUUUUGCUUCUAUUUUCUCCUUUCCCUUUGUAUCAUACUGUUUUUUUAAUGAAAAUAUACCAUAGAACUAUUGUCCUGUGGUUUGCGGUUAAAAAAAGUAAAUUUACCUAUUCACACUGAGAGGAAAUAACAGAAAACUCGUAGACAUGACAAAAAAAAUAGAUCCCCAGUCCUAUUCAUAUGGUUCAUAUGUACCAAUGCAUGGUUUUUGUAUAUAAAUAGAAAAUUUGAAGGCACAUGUUCCAACUUUCUUUAUUUACUGGGACACGAUAGAGAUCACAUGCCUAUAGUUUGUCGUGCAAGAUUCUGCAAAUUAAUAGCUACAGCGACAUUUCACUACAACAAUCAGUGGAUCAUGUAUUUGACUAAAGUAGUUCCAUUACUCUAAUGUAUCUCAAGAAUUAAUUGGACGUCUAUACAACAAAUACUACUCAUGAGCGUAACUUUCACUCUAAUUCUUCACCAACUUAUCGAAGAUUAUUCUAAAACCGAAGCGACAAAUCUUGUUAUUGUACAUAUAAGAUAGUUUAAGUCCAAAUACUACAUCAGGCGGUGGCCUCUUUGGCAUGUCAUUGUCUAAUAAAAGCGACAUUUCCAUCAGUUCUACUAACUCGUCACCAACUUCCUGAAGAUUAUUCCAGAACCCCAAAGUGAAGAGUUUUUUCAUUACUGGAAAUAUGAGAUAACUGAAGGGAAUACAUAUAUAGACUAUCCUAUGCGUCAAAGUGUUUGAUAUGUCGUCAUGUAAUGCCAGAUGGCGCAAGCCAUUUAUUUUAACUGGAUUAUUUGCAUAUCAAGAAAUUUUUUGCACAGCUAUAGGUUUUAUAUAGCAUUUAGUAGCACCAGGCAGAACAUACCUUAAGUGCAGCAAUGGCCGCUCAAGAGCAGAAUCACAGUGGCUAACCUUCACAUCACCUACAAGAGAACCAUUAAAAUAUGGGUCCAGAAAUCUGUUAGAAAACGGCUAACACCGACUCGGCCCGCACCGUGCCGCACGCUCACCACGCGGUGAUCGUGGCCUCACCCCGCGCCCCGCGUAGCUAGCACACGUCUCUCCGGAAGACUAGCUCCUUUCUGUUGUAACCAACCCAGCACCUGCGCGUGCUCUCCUGUGUAUAUAAGGCUAUGCCUUCCUUCGUAAUAUCACACACAGAUUCUUAUCCUUCUUCUUGGUAUCAGAGCCAUCUUUCCUCCCUGUACCCCAUGGCCGGUUCCCAUGCCUCUGACGAGGGUUCAGAUGCCGGCGAGCAGACCGACGCCGGUGUCAAUUCCGGCAGCCCACCCCUCCCCAGCGCUACUGCUCCGCUGCCCACUACUUCCGCUCCACCCCCCGUCCAGAGCGCCCCUCCGGCCACAGCUCCGCUGCACCUCACCAUCGCACCGCUCGGUGCGGUGACCUCCGACGCCGCGUCGUCCUCCACGGCGCCGCCACCUUCGAUCCAUGCUGUCAACGUCGGCGCCCACAUCGACUUCAAGCUGGACGCCGUCUGCGGCAACUACUCCAAGUGGAGGCGCAUCAUGUCCUUCAUCCUCCGCAAGUCGGGCGUGGAGAGCCACGUCCUCGUCAACCUCGACCCGCGCACUCAGACUGCACAGUGGCGCCACGACGAUCUCCAGAUCCUCCUCAUGAUCUACGGUACGAUCACGGAUGAACUUUACGAUGUCAUUUCUGCCCAAGACUCCACUGCCUAUCAUGCCUGGUUUCUCCUCGACGCCUUCUUCCGCGAUAACCUCGCGGGACGGGCCAUCCACGUCGGCGCCGAGUUUCGCGCCACCGUUCAAGGUGAUAUGAAGAUUGCCGAGUACUGCAGGCGCCUCAAGGCGCUCGCGGACUCCCUCGACGAUCUUGAUGAGCACGUCACCGACAAGACCCUCACUCUCCAGCUCAUCCGCGGCCUCGCUCCUCUGUUCGGUGUCAUGGCGUCCCUGCUUCCGAUGCAGGUGCCCUUCCCCACCUUCGUCCAGGCCCGCUCCAGGUUGAUGCUGGAGGAAAUCAGCCUGGAUGCGCGCGCCCGGGCGGAGGGAGCUACCGCCCUCAUCGCCACCCACGGCGGCGGCUCCAGCGGCGGUGGAGGCGGCUCCGCUUCCACGGGCGGCACAAUCCAGCGGCAGCCCGAUCGCCCCUCUGACCGCGGCGGGCGCGGGCGCGGCCGUGGCCGCGGCGGGCGCGGUCGAGGCUCCGGUGGCCGUGGGGGGCCUCCAGCGCCUCCGUCUCCAUCCCAGCAACCCUGGAUGGGCUAUUUCGCCCUGUGGGGCCCCUUUCCCACCGGCCGGCCGCGCACAGUGGGUUCCAUUGAACGCCGCCGGCGUGCUCGGUCCAUGGCCCGGGAUUCCACACCACGCCUACCCCAUGAUCUACAAUGUCAACUCCCCACCGACAUACGGCGCCGCACCACCAACCUACGGCGCCCCGCCCGUCUACACGCCUCCGCCUACUUCAUGGGACACCGGCCACAUGCUCAACGCCGCCAUGUCCAACAUGUCCAUCCAGGCUCCGGGGGGCGCGGCGAAUGGUACCUGGACACCGGCGCAUCUAGCCACAUCACCAACAAUGCGGGUAACUUGGACACGUCUCGUUUUUCUGCAAAGUAUCCCUCUAUCUUAGUUGGUGACGGCUCCUACAUGCCUGUCCUUACCACGGGCACCGCCUCUCUACCACCUCGCCCUUUCUCCCUUAAUCAUGUUCUCUUCGCCCCUUCUGUUGUCAAAAACUUGCUCUCUGUACGACAAUUUACUAUUGACAAUUCUGUCUCAGUUGAAUUUGACCCACAUGGCUUUCUUGUGAAGGAUCUGGCGAGCAGGACCCCUCUCAUGAGGUCAAAUAGUUCCACUGGGCUUUAUCCUUUCUUCGGCGAAUCACCCACGGCUCUCUCCAUCGACAUCGGCAACUUGUGGCACAGGCGUUUAGAGCACCCUAGUCGUGCUUCUUUAGCCAAAUUAUCUCAUUUUAUUUCUUCAUGUAAUAAACCCCUACCCCCCUUUGCCACUUGUGAGGCGUGCCAAUUCGGCCGACAGCCCAGGCUACCCUUCCCCUCCUCUAGUUCCUUUACUACUUCUCCUUUUCAACUUAUACAUUGCGAUUUGUGGACAUCACCUGUCUCUAGCUGUUCUGGCUAUGCUUACUAUUUAAUAAUAAUGGAUAAUUUCAGUCAUUACUCCUGGACUUUCCCUUUGCGUCACAAAUCUGAAGCUGCCGAUAUUCUUAUACGCUUUUAUGCCUACGCUCUCACCCAGUUUCAUCUCUGUCUAUAGUGCAUCCAGUGUGAUAACGGAGGAGAAUUCCUCAACACCCGCCUCCGCUCUUUUCUCUCUGCCAACGGCAUCACCUUGCGCCUCUCUUGCCCUCACACUUCACCACAAAACGGCAAGGCCGAGCGCGCCAUACGCAGCACCAACGAUAUCAUGCGCACUCUCCUCCUCUAAGCACACAUGUCGCCCGAGUUUUGGGUGGAGAGCCUCAACACCGCCACGCACCUUUUAAACCUUCGUCCUUCUCGCGACAUCGCCCACAACACGCCCUACUUCAUGCUCCACGGUGUCGCCCCCACCUACGACCACCUCCGCACAUUCGGCUGUCUAUGCUACCCUAACCUCUACGCCACCUCCCCCCACAAACUAGCAGCCUGAUCGCGCCGCUGCGUCCUCCUCGGUCUCCCUCGUGAACACAAGGGCUACCGUUGCCUUGACCUGGGCACUCGCCGGGUCAUCACGUCCAGACACGUAGUCUUCGACGAAAACCAGUUUCCCUACACCCCGGCCACACCCUCUUCACGUGCCACGGAAAAUCCCAUGCAAAUCCUACCUACCUCGUACUAUCCAGGCGCACCUACCUCGGGAUCGCCGCCUAACCACGCGCCUCCCGCGGCUGCUCCCCAACCCACCCACCAGCCCGACCCCACCUCGGCUCUCGCACCCGCGGAUAACGCGCCCACCACUCCACCAUCCGCUCGGUCCCACCCUGGCCCCACUCUCUCCACCAAUCCCAGCUCAACCGAAUCCACCUGGUCGGCCACUUCCCGAAGCAACCCGGAGCCAUCCCCUCCCACCUCGCCACCUGGCCGACCCCUCCCACCGCGCGUCGUGCCCAUUACCCCAUGCCGCAAUAAUCACGCCAUGCACACCCGGGGCAAAGCUGGUUUCCUUCAGCCGAAAAACCUCUUCUCCCCCGCUGCUCUCGCCGCCGUUCCUGCCUCGCCUACCAUCUCACCCAUCCCCGCCACCUACAAACAGGCCCUCAAAGACCCCAACUGGCGCCGCACCAUGCAAGAUGAGUUCGAUGCUUUGCUGCAAAACAAUACGUGGUCUCUUGUUUCUCGUCCUGCAGGUGUCAACACGGUGACGGGCAAGUGGAUUUUUCGCCACAAACUCCACCCCGACGGCAGCCUGGCACGCUACAAGGCCAGAUGGGUUCUCCGUGGUUUCACACAGCAGCACGGCGUGGAUUUUGGCGAGACAUUCAGCCCGGUGGUGAAGCUGGCGACCGUUCGCGUGGUGCUCAGCCUCGCCGUCUCGUCGGGGUGGCCAGUUCAUCAACUGGACGUGAAGAACGCGUUUCUUCAUGGCCACCUCGACACGAUCGUCUACAGUCAACAACCAUCCGGCUUCGUCGACUCGCACCACCCCACGCACGUCUGUCAGCUCCACCGCUCCCUCUACGGCCUGCGUCAGGCGCCACGGGCGUGGUUCCAGCGCUUCACAGCCUACCUGCUCUCGCUCGGCUUUGUCGCGUCCAAGUGCGACACCUCGCUGUUCAUCUUGCGCCGCCGCACAUCCACUGCUUAUCUACUGCUGUACGUCGAUGACAUACUCCUCACCGCCAGCACCACCGCCCUGCUUCGCUCCAGCAUCGCCGCGCUCCACCGCGAGUUUGCCAUGUUCGACCUCGGCGAGCUCUACCACUUCCUCGGUGUCAAUGUGCACCGCACCACGGACGGGCUGUUUCUCUCGCAGCACCAGUACGCGCUCGAGAUCCUUGAACGCGCCGCCAUGAGCAACUGCCGCCCCAUCGCCACGCUCGCUGACACCAAGCGCAAGCUCUCCGCCCAGGCCGGACCGCCCGUCUCCGAUCCAUCCCUCUACCACAGCCUCGCCGGUGCCCUGCAAUACCUCACUCUCACUCGUCCCGACAUCGCCUACGCCGUCCAGCAAUUAUGCCUCUUCAUGCACGACCCGCGCGAGAGCCACUUCACCUACCUCAAGCGCGUCCUGCGCUAUGUGCGUGGCACUGCUCAUCUCGGCCUCCGGCUCCGGCGAUCGCACGACACCAACCUGGUCGCCUACUCCGACGCGGACUAGGCAGGCUGCCCCGACACGCGCCGGUCCACGUCGGGCUUCUGCGUCUUCCUCGGUGACAACCUCGUCUCGUGGUCAUCCAAACGCCAGCACACCGUCUCGCGCUCUAGCGCCGAGGCGGAGUACCGCGCUGUCGCCCACGCCGUCGCCGACACCUGCUGGCUCCGUCAACUUCUUCACGAGCUUCAUCGCCCACCGGACAGCGCGACGAUCGUCUACUGCGACAACAUCAGCGCUACGUACCUCUCCUCCAACCCGGUACAGCACCAGCGCAUGAAGCAUGUGGAGAUUGAUCUCCACUUUGAUCGCGAGCGCGUCUCCUUCGGUGACGUACGUGUCCUUCACGUGCCUUCGACGUCCCAGUUCGCCGACGUCUUCACCAAGGGCCUCCCGACGGCCAUUUUCUGCGAGUUCAGGUCCAGCCUCCACAUCGUCGAGGACCCUGUUGCGGCUGCGGGGGGCUGUUGGAAAACGGCUAACACCGACUCGGCCCGCACCGUGCCGCACGCUCACCACGCGGUGAUCGUGGCCUCACGCCGCGCCCCGCGUAGCUAGCACACGUCUCUCCGGGAGACUAGCUCCUUUCUGUUGUAACCAACCCAGCACCUGCGCGUGCUCUCCUGUGUAUAUAAGGCUAUGUCUUCCUUCGUAAUAUCACACACAGAUUCUUAUCCUUCUUCUAAAUCAACAUGGGUUUACGGCCUAAAGAAAGAAAAAUAUGCGUGCAACUUUGCACAACAUAUUGAAUGAAAGAUACGGUAACAACAACCUACAAAUACGACUAUGUAUGGAUUAACAACACUAACCACUGGCGAUGGAAUUAUCAAGAUAGCCAUAGAGGACGCCCCCCAUGAUCUAGGAGCGGGCUUGAGCGAGGCAGAGUAUGAAAUUGGUUCGGUUUAGAAAUAAUGAAUUAGUGGCAUUGCUAUUGCCCAUUAAGAAAAUAAAUAAGAUCUAAAACAAACAGUAAAAUAAGUUGCGCACAAUAUACACAAAUAUUGCGCUUUUUCAAAAUGUUUAAGAAUAAACCUAUGAUCACUACCGGAAUAUGCCCAAAUCGCGACGGCCUAAACUAUGCCGACGGCACCCGGCAUAGGUCAAGCCGUCGGCGUAGAAAAGUUGUCGGCAUACGUCAACAUGUGCUGACGGGUGCCGUCGGCAUAGCUCGGCCAUCGGCAAUACUAGCUCUAUGCCUACGGUCACCUUCGGCAUAUACGUGGACCCGGCUACCCAGUGGGCGACGGGCGUUUGACAAUGUCAUAUCUACGCCGAUGGCUCUAACGGGGCCGUCGGCAUAGGAAGUGACCCACGUCAUUGAUCCAGGGGACGGGACACGUCAUCUAUCUGAGCCCCUCAUCAGUCUUUAGGGUGGCAUAGAUAUGCCGACGGCCUUGCCGUCGGCAUAGGCCUGGCCCACGGCCUCUACCACGUCAUCGAUCUGAGGCCCUCAUUAAGCCGGGGGCGUAGCUAUGCCGACGGCAUUGCCGUCGUCAUCAAUUUGUGUUAUUUUUUUAUAUUUUAUUUAUUUUUCUCCUUUUUCUAAACAAAUUUGAUUAACUUAAAUGUGCCUUAUCUAAACAAAAAACAUACCUAAAUUAUAUAUUGGUUGACCCCCCUCACAGACGUCACCGCCGACAUCUCACGUUGGGGGGAAACGGCCACGUCGGGCCUACAUGGAGGAAAUCUUGCAGUGGGUUGGGCCCGGACCGUGUUCGUGGGUGUAGCUACGGGCUGGACUAUGACAACCCGGUGAAAAGGUCCAUUGGUCAAACACCGUCCGGUGAAAGUCAAAGGCCUAGAUCCGCUGGUCGACUGUGUCGGGGUUAGACGGGACGGGGUACUUGGGGGUAGUUAUGUUGCCAAGUCUUGUUGUGGGCCCUCUUAUGCGUGUGAAAGCGUGGUGGCAGGUGCAAGUACCCGAAACGCGGCUCCGGCGUGUGACCCCCCUCACAAAUUAAACGUCGCUGCCGCCAUCUCACGGAGGGAGGAAACGGCCAUGUCGGGCCGACACAGAGGGUAUCUUNNNNNNNNNNNNNNNNNNNNNNNNNNNNNNNNNNNNNNNNNNNNNNNNNNNNNNNNNNNNNNNNNNNNNNNNNNNNNNNNNNNNNNNNNNNNNNNNNNNNNNNNNNNNNNNNNNNNNNNNNNNNNNNNNNNNNNNNNNNNNNNNNNNNNNNNNNNNNNNNNNNNNNNNNNNNNNNNNNNNNNNNNNNNNNNNNNNNNNNNNNNNNNNNNNNNNNNNNNNNNNNNNNNNNNNNNNNNNNNNNNNNNNNNNNNNNNNNNNNNNNNNNNNNNNNNNNNNNNNNNNNNNNNNNNNNNNNNNNNNNNNNNNNNNNNNNNNNNNNNNNNNNNNNNNNNNNNNNNNNNNNNNNNNNNNNNNNNNNNNNNCCUCUUACGCAUGUGGAAGCGUGGUGGCAGGUGCAAGCACCCAUCACGUGGCUCGUGGGUGUGACCCCCCUCACGGACGUCGCUGCCGUCGUGUCAUAAAGGGGGGAAACGACCACGUUGGGCCGAUACAAAGGGAAUCUUGCGGUGGGUUGGGCCCGGACCGUGUUCGGGGGUGUAGCUAUGGGCUAGGCUAUGACAACCCGGUGAAAAGGUCCAUCGGUCAAACCCCGUCCGACGAAAGUCAAAGGCCUAGAUCCGUCGGACGACUGUGUGAGGGUUAGACGGGACGGGGUACUUGGGGGGCAGCUAUGCCGCCAGGUCUUGCGGUGGGCCCUCUUACGCGUGUGGAAGUACUACCACCAUGACUUGGAGGUGGGAAUCAUGUGCGUCUGGUAGAACCGUAGGGAAUCUAGUGGUGGGUUGGGUCCAGGCAGUGUUCGGGGGUGUUCCUAUGGGCCGAUCUAACGCAACCAGGUGGAAGCUUCCAUUGGUCAAAGCCCAUCCGGCAAUAGUCAAAGGGCUAGAUCUCCUUGUCAAUGGGGCUUUGGUGUGUAGCUACGUGACCAAAACAUUGAACAGGUCCUCAUGCAUGUGUGAAAGUCAUGUGGCAUGCGUAGACACAUGUCUUGGUGCUCCAGGGUGUGGCCCCCUUCCACGGAUGGCACUGCCACCAUGACUUGGAGGGGGAAUCGUGCGUGUCAGGUAGAACCGGAGGGAAUGUAGUGGUGGGUUGGGUCCAGACCGUGUUCGGGGGUGUUCCUAUAGGCCGACCUAAUGUAACCAGGUGGAAGCGUCCACUGGUCAAAGCCCAUCUGGCGAUAGUGAAAGGGCUAGACCUCCUGGUCAACGGGUCUUCGGGGUGUAGCUAUGCGACCAAAACAUCGCACGGGUCCGGACGAUAGGGUGGUGGUGGGCAUGGGGCCUAAGGCUCAUGGUCGGUAGACGGUUCUGGAUGCCGUGGUCACUCCUUCUAUCCCCUACACACAGCUCCGAGCUACCGACCCGAGCUCGAGCCAGCUCACGAGCACGACCAUGACCAGUGCGCAGUCACACUCCCUCCUAGCCAAACGGCACUCUGUAAGUAUUUUCCCUCUUAUCUUCAUUGCUCACUUUGUUUUUUCGAAUUGAGAUGUUUAAUGACUUCCAUCAUGUCAUAUUGUAGGCCUACAUGGACUACACACGCCAGGAGACCAUGGCGUGGAGCGCGACAGUUGCAGCCGUCCAGGAGCGCGUUAGUUUAGCUCCUUUCAUUUCACUUCCAUAUUUGCAAUUUCAUUUCUUCUGACAUUCAUGUUUGCUUUGUCAAUUAACAUGCAACACAUUUUUGAGAGCAUGGCGGCAGGCAUGGUUCCUGUAAUGGAACCACCACCACCACCUGCCGGACCACAACCAGUGCUGCUUACCUUUGAGGAAUUUCUGGCACAGCACCUGGGGACUACGGUGGUUAGUAUAUCCCCAAACUAUCCAACCACCGCUUACCGUUUAUUCAACACAAUCAUAUAUCCCCCGAACAUGUCUUUUCAAACAUCCAGGGAACCGGUGGAUCAUCUGUUGGUGGUGGUGCCGGUCUUCGCAUCACUCCCGAGUCAUGGAGCUCGGUCACUUCGAUCCACCGAGGCGAUGACGGUCUUGGCGGUAGCGCUGCCGUUAGCAGUGACGACCUAGGCUUUGGCGGACUUGGCGGUGGUGGUGGACGUCUUGGCGCUUAAGCCUGUGGGUGGCGGUGGUGGUGAUGUUAUACUUGUGUGCUUUAGAUGACUUGUGGUCUUUUAUGCACCUUUAGAUGACUUGUGUGCUUCCUUAGAUGCUUAUGUUGUUUCUGAUUUUGCUUAUGUUUGUCGGUGGUGUUGGUUGUGAGGAUGUGAUGGUUUGGUGGUGUUGGUUGUGAACAUAUACUUAUGUUGUUGUGAUGGUGGUGGUGGUGGUUGUGAGGAUCAUACCUAUAUGUGAUGUGUAUGUCUAUUUCAUCAUAUAUAUCUGUUGUGUACUUGAAUUGAAUUAAAUUCAAACAGAGAACAGAAAAAAAACAGAUAAGGUAGUGUCGAGCUACCAGUGGGCGAUACGUGUCACCUAUGCCGACGGCCUUGCGUCGGCAAUGUUUUACAUAUACGUCGACGGGUAGGCCGGCAACAUAGGCGAACAUGGCGCCCAUUGGGCGCGUCCUGGCAUGUAGAUAUGCCGACGGCUAGGUCCUCCGCACCGAUUUGAAUCUACGCCGACGGUUGGGCCAUCGGCACAUGUGUAGAUUCAUAUAUAUGUCGACGGCCUACCCGUCAACAUACUUGUGCCACGUGGCUCCUUCUAGUUGGGUCGUACUUGACGAUGGCGUCGUCAGCCGCCGUCAGACAUGGAACUUUGCUGACGGCAAAUCUAUGCCGAUGGCCGUACGGAAGCCCUGGGUAUAGGUAUCUAUGCCGACGGCCUCCCGGGGUAUGUCGACAAAAAUGUUGCCGACGACCCUAUGCCGAUGAUGUCUGUUGGCAUAGGCAUAGGGUAGUGUCGAGCUACCAGUGGGCGACACGUGUCACCUAUGCCGACGGCAAGGCCAUCGGCAUAGUUUUACAUAUACACCGACCGUAGGCCAUCGGCUUAGGCGACAGGUAGAUAUGCCGACGUCUAGGCCGUAGGCAUCGAUUUGAAUCUACGCCGACGGCUGGGCCAUCGGCACAUGUGGACACCUGGCAGCCUCUGGGUGCCCAUGCCGACGGCUGGGCCAUCGGCACAUGUGGACACGUGGCAGCCUCUGGGUGCCGUCGGCAUAGGCCUAUCCCGACAGGAAACUAGCCUAUGCCGACGGCCUAAUAGUACGUCAUUCUGGUAAUGUAGUCAAUUUUUUGCAAAAGUAAGUUUCUUACGAAGGAAUAAAUUAGUGGCAUUGAUAAUACCCUCUUGAUGUGAUUUUUCGUUGUAUUCCUAUCUCUAUCAGAGUUUCAGCAUGUCGCCCAUAAAUAGCGUCUACUUAAGCAGCAUGAUUAGUACGUAGGCGAGGCUGCUCAAGUAAAUUGGACUGCAGAAGUUUUAGCAUUUCUGAAUAGAUUUGAAAAUAUAAAUUACUUGAGACAUUGGGCUGAAAGCCUCAAACAACAUACUUGUGUAAGCAAGCUGAAACCAUGCAUAUUAUCCCACCAGCUAAUUAAGACGAACGUGAAGCAAACAUCGACUCCAGAAGCUGCGAUAGACGAGUUGCAUGCAUAUGAGCACGAAGGUUCACUCUAGGUUAGAUCGGGGAAGCGUGAGCCUCAAUCACUUGCUCAAAGUCGACGCUCCGGAGCACCCCGACGACGGCGAGCGCCUCCUCCUUGCUGCGGAUGUUGGCUUCCGUCUCCAGUAUCUUGGUGAAGGGCCCGUCCCACUUGCCCAUAAGGUUGGAGCGGAGGAUCUCAUAGGACAUGGUGUCCCAGUGCUCGAUGUAGGGCAGGUGCUCGGGGGCGACGCGGGCACCGGUGUCCCAUCCGUCGUUGAGGGUCUCUUUGAUGGGCCUCACCCGCUGGGCCUCGCACAUCACAACCUUCAUCGCCGCCAGCGCCCGCUUGACCGGCUGCACGUCGGCCCCGGGGCGGUAGGCGGCGAGCACGCGGAUGGCCUCCAGCAUGGCCUCCCGCCCCAGCGGCACGCCCGGCAGGUUCGCAAGGCCGCCGAUGAGGUCGCUGUAGCUGCUGCCGAAUGGGAGCGUCGUGGACGUGGGGAAGAGAUGCUCAAGGCCAGGAAAGGCGUGCCAAUGGCCGCUGCCAUCGGUGAAGCCGGCGAAGGAGAGGUCGUGUCUCUGCACGGCGACGGUGGUCUUGUCAUCCGGGCCGCGGCCGAUUAGCCGGACCCGGACGACGACGACGUUGCCCGCAUCAACGGCUCCUGCGUGUCCAUGCUCGCUGUUGCUGGUGGCGAGGACAAGUACGAGGAGGAACAGGAUGACGAGUCGGUUGACGGUGGAUCCGUCCAUCUCUUCUCUUCAAGACUAGAACAGUGAACGAUGAAGGAUGAAGAAUCAAGUACGCAGUAGCUAGUAUAUAGGGUGGCAAGCCAAGGGACACCAGCACACUGAUCGCGUUGCCCAACGGUGCUGGCUAGUGCAAUGCAUGGAACCAGCGUGAUUGUCAAGAGAAGAGUGUGAAAUGACUCAUGGGCGUCUUUUUUGACAGGCCGUGCUUGGCGCCCAUGCAUAUGUGAUGCCCGUUCAGCGUCCAACAUCUACCUUCCACCUUUUUCUUCACAAAGAUGUGAUGUGUGAGUGAGUACCAUGUGAUUGCCUUUUUUACUUUCGUUCAGGAGAGCUUUUAUAUUACGGCCUGUCUAGAACUCAGUCAAGUCUCAGUCUAAUGACGUCAGCGUAGUUGUGGUGCUAGAUGCUGCGAAUGGCGAUGAAAAAUGUUGCAACAGUACUGCAAGCAACGACAACCUAUACUACAACCGUUCCGAGUAAAGUUGCUACAACCGUCAAUGGAGGAUGUUGUGACCGGUCAGAUGACAUGCUACAAUCGACGAGGGACAACAUGCUACAAUCAGCAUGACAGAUGUUGCAAACUGACAGAAAAAAAGUUGCAAGCAAUGGGACAAAAUGCUGCAAGGUUGAAUAGGACUUCGUUAAAUUUCAGUCGACUGAGUUUUAGCAAGCCCAUUUAUAUUAUAACUAGCAUGUUGUGAACUACUAUUUGAGUUAAUUUGGCACUAUUAGCAUUGGCACGCAAUGUAAACUAUAAAAAGCAAAUGUGUACAAAAAGUAAUUCUUGAAAAAAAUUAUUGUAUGGAAUUUUUCCUGUAAGGUGUCUUAGGUUGGUUGUAAAAGCCUUGUUAUUUAAGAUGAAAGUCCAGUGGAAUUGGUAUCUACGGCCUCAUGUAAAAGCUUUUUUACCAUUUUUUUCCUUUCCUCCGCACCCCUCCCUUCUCUAUCUCCUUGUCUACAAAUAUUUAAGGUUUCUUUAUUGAAAUCAGACCUAUACAUCGGUGGUUCGUAUCAAAACUUCAGUCAACUCGUUAUUUGUCAUAUUGUAUGUUAUUCUUUUAAUUAGUGCGGUGCCAUGUCUCUAGAAGCUUCAACGCAUGACCAUCUUACCCUAACAAUGUAAUACACAAUCAAUUGCACAACAUAGUUGGUUGGUGGCAAAAAAAAAUCCGGUUUUUAGCAUGCAUGAAUGCAAAGAUGUACAAACAACAAUUCCAAUUAUUAUGUUGGUGAACUCUGGGUCAUUAGAGGAACAAUGUAUGACGGUGCACAAAGUUUCGUUGGUUUGUGCUCUUAAAAUUUCCAACCGGGCGUCUCCAUUUCCAUUGAUUACAAAUCAACACAGGGGAAGGGAAAGAGAGAGCGAGUUGGGGCACUAUCAGAAAACCCGCUAGUGGUGUUCGACAUUAAAACACCCGUUACAGGGCAAGAACUUGAUAAGACCCAUAAAUUCCCAUACAACAAACAAAAUACUAACUAGAGUUCAAAGAUAAAAGGUUAAAAACCAAACCCUCUGGGCCGAUAUCUACAAAUUUCCCAAAGGAUCACCAAACGACUCUAGGACCAAGGUGAACAUAACCAGACUGUGCAAAAAUAAGUUUAUGAUGUCACAACGGUCGGUUCAACUGUCAGAGGAGCGUCUUCCACCCUAAACGUGUCUGGUACCUGGCCCGCACAUAUAUGCCAGCUUUUCUCUUUCUAUGUCAUUUACACAUUUUUGCAGGAACUAUCUAUGUCAUUUAUACGUUUGUGUCUGCGUAUAUGUUGUAAGUUGCACUUGUCUUGAUCCAACAUGAAGUCCUACAUGAUUUUUAUGCGGCGGUGUUUAAGGCCCUCCGCCCAUUCUCGCAUUUCUUGUGUGUGACCCCUCUACUCUGCCUAAUGAUCUCCCUAUGUCUCCCAUACGAGUAUGACAACAAAUACAUGGUACUUUUGUGAACUAAAAUUCAUCAAUCAUGGACCGUCUAAACUUCAGGCAACUGAAAUUCUUAGUAGGGUCACUCAGUUUUUUUUCUAGCGUUGUCGUUUCAUGCUAUAUGAAAUGCGGCGAAGGCAAGACCAGUGUUGUACAUACUUAGAACAAGCGUAAGUUGUGCACCUUUAAUAAUACUUAUGGUUUAAUGAUUAAUUAUAGAAUGAAUUCUAUUUGAAGUCCCAAACACACAAUUAUAUAGUGUCACACCAUUACAAUAUUAAACAGCUGGCGCUAACACAAAUAUAGGAGAAAAUCUGAAGACCAGAAAAUCGAGGAAAGAAGAAAAAAACAAGAAGAGGCAUUACCACAGGCAAGAAAAUAGGUGAUUUUUUACGUGAGUUACUUUUUCCUUGCGAGUAAACAAAUACAUACAAACCAUUAACUAGAAAAUAUAAUAAGAAAGAUUUAUUUAAGAUAUAAAUUCAUCUAAGGAACAAAUGAUCAGGAAGUGGUGUAGAUUGAAAUAAUAGCAUAAAAAGGAAAUUAUAAAAUAUAUUUAAAAAAGAAUGAAUUGAUGGCCCUUAUAUACCCUAAAAGAAGGAAGAAAACAAAAAAUGUAAAACAAAAAUGACAAAAGGAAUUGACGCAAAAUGCAUUGAAUUUGCACUAAUUAACAAUAUAGAAGAACAAUCAUAUAAUAUUAAGUUGCAUAUAUAUUCAUCCAUGUUAGAAAUUGGUCAUCUAUUGACAUAUUGAAACUGAAUUGCCGCUCAUAUCAAUAAUAUCAUCCCCAUCAUUUCUCUCCCUCUCUCACCUGUGUACAGACAAUACGCAAUGCACACUCAUGCAUUGCACACACGCCACAUAACAGAGAGUUCCUACAGGACGCACGCUGGCGUCAAACAUUGAGCCUUCUGGUUUUUUGGACGAUUUUUAUUUCGACUAUUAUAUACAUAUGAUUUUUCUUAAUAUGAACAUUUUUGAAUUUCCCAAUCAUUUCUUAAUACUGUGCUAUUUUUGUAAUAUACACUAAACAAUUUUUAAACAAACAUUGAACUUUUUUAUAUAUGUUGAAUAUUUUUAAAUAUACAAUAAAAAACUACAAUGCACGGUGAACAUUUUUGUAAAAAGACGAUGAACACACUGAAAAAGAAUUAAUAUAUGUUGAACAUUUUUCUAAACUAUGGGGGAUUUUUUGUAAUAUACAGCAAAAAGUUUCUUAAUAUACGAUGAACAUUUUCUUAAUACACAAGGAUGAUUUCAUAUGCUACAAAAAAGAGAAAAAAAUAGAAAACAUAUACAUAGAAAAAACAGAAAAGCAAAACAAUCGAAAAAAACAGAAACGAAAAACCUAAUACAGAAAACCAAAAAGGAAUUAGAGGGGCAAAGAAACGAAAAAGAAAGAAAGUGCUAACGUAAAUCACUGUUCAAAAAAUCUUCCUAUUCAGCGAUUUAUCGCUACUCUUGGGGUGACCGAUAAGAUUAUGCCUUAUUUUCACGGUUUGUCAUUUGGGCUGAUUUAUCACUCUAACAAGUGAUUUAGCAAGAAUCUACUGAUAAAUGGAGCCUAUUCCUAGCACUAUUGUUGCAACAACUAUGUUUAUUUGUGUUUUGUGGACCUUGUUAUGCAAUAUGUAUUGUUGUCCUAUUUCGUUUGAUAUUAUAUGAGGAUUCAGAGCUAGGAAUCAAGGCAACACUUUGCUCACCUAGUUACCAGAUCAAAAGCACAAAAAAUGAAGAAAAAAACUAGGUGAGCGAAGCAAGGGGGGUAGGGGAGCGAACUCUGCUAUGAGCACGCCAACUUACUUUCCGGCGUUGAAGGCACCUAAGAGCUCCCCGCAUUACAUGCUCUGGUUGACUAAUCAGUUACUAGCAGGCAGAAGGCGCGGCGGCGCGAUGCCUGUCGUGAAGUAGGUGUGCAUGGUUGCGUUGUUUUUCAUGGGAAAAAAGAUGACAGUGGAUAAGCGAGAUGGCAGUUGGUAAUGUGCAAGCCAAUUGAACAUAGAUAAAUACUGAAAGAUACCAGAAAACAGUUCACCUAUCGUUACAAACACUUAGCUAUAUAUCAUAAAUGUUCAAUUCAAAGGUGUUCCUAACAAAAUACUCACAAUAUGUAAAUUGUGUGGUACAACCAAAAUUUGUACAAAAUGGAGCUUCCUUCGAACCAAAGGAAAAUAUCCCUAGUACACAUUUUAAGGAUAGUACCCCAUCACGCAAAAGAUAAAAAUUUGUAUUAGUGAACAAAGCAAGAUGUGCCCAUGGUAAUCUCAACCAAAUAAAAUGACGGGCAAAGUCAUGUUGCAAACAAUCUGAAUAGCUGAUGCGCAUAUGAACUUUCUCUCCAUAUAUCUGAUACGGUAUAACCAGUAAAGGAUAUGUUCUAAAAAUAUUAUUUGAGUUUAAUAGACACAAAAAAACAAAAUGAUUCGAGUGGAUGGCUGAAGGGUCGUCACCUGAAACCAGGAUAUUAGUUGUGACUCCUCACUUCAGUUCAGUUGAAUGUUCCUCCUUAUAUCUGCUUCAAAUAAAUCGCAAAAAUAAGAUGAGAAGACACAAGUUAGGUUCGAGUAAGUUCUUGUCGCUACCACAUGAAGUAUCAUAGUUAAUUACUAAUAUCCACUUAGUCUGAAUCAACAGAAAAAAUUUAUAUUACAUAAAAAAACUAAAUAAAAAUUGUCCCUAAAUCACCUUCUUGGAAAAUACUUCGGUCAGGAGAACAGCCUGGCAGCAUGACGUCCAAAGAAUACCUUCCAGUUCAUAAUGAAGAUGUUUCACGUGGUCGGGUAAACGGGCAUGGUAGAAGGUAGUGGCAGCUAGGCGAAGUAAGGGCCCAAGCGAAGCGGAUGCCAAUAGUGGAACCAUGAAAGGUGGAGAAGAGUAGCGUGAAGCUAGAGCACAACAUGGAUGCGAGCUUGUCCACCGCCGGCUCCUGGUCAGAAAUAGGUGCGCCGCCUUGGACCGUGGGAAGAGAACCACCAGCAAGCAGUGGCGUAGCUAGGGGGUGGCCAGGGUGGUCCAUGGACCACCCUGGAAUUCCCCCAUAGCUUAUGUAUAGUGUAGUAAAAAACAUUUCGUUUAAAAUAAAACAAAACUUGUGUAAAUAUUUCUAUUACCGGACCACCCUGACAAAUCGGGCUGGCUACGCCACUGCCAGCAAGGCGAGGAGCACAUCCAACCAGCCCGCAUCAUCGUUGAGCUCAACGUCCUUCUGUCAUGCGGUGCGGAGGUCAACCUACCAGACAACGCGUGUGCUCUUGGCCUUUCUCGUUAUCGUGGGGCAACACGUCAGGUGGAGCGUCGAUGACCUCGAUGGUGUGGGCUGGUGGACGGGGGUCACUUGCGAGGGCACAUGAAUCGCUAUGUUCGGUUUGCUUGACAGCGCAUGGCCCACCUCUACGGCCAACACCACGCUGGAGAUCAAGAUAGCUAGUGUAAGGGAAGGAGGUGCUUACGAGGGCCGCACCGGAGACAAAGGUGGCCAACCCCGUCGGAGCCAAGGACGGGAGGUAGAAGAGGAGAUGCGGUACGGUGGGGAUGAAGUGGACAGGAGAGGUGCGACAGGGCUGGGAAUAAUUUUGAUGAAAAUCGGAACGGGGUAGGGGAGAGGAAGGUGUGGCGAGAAGUGAAGGAAGAAAAAGGAGGUGAGAUAAGCGGUCCCCGUCGGAGCCAAGGACGGAAGGUAGAGGCGGAGAGGCGGCACGGUGGGGAUGAAGUGGAUAGGAAAGGUGCGACAGGGCUGGGAAUUAUUUUGAUGAAAACCGGAACGGGUUAGGGGAGAGGAAGGGGUGGUAAGAAGGGAAAGAAAAAAAAAUGAGGUGAGAUAAGCGGUGAGCGUGGGACCCGGGGUGAGAUAUUUCUCAAAGUGAAACUGACUACCGUAGUUGUAAGACAUCUCCACGUAAUUUCUCAACGGAGGCAGUAAAAAAAGUUGCAAAGGAGAAAAUCCAAAACUUACGUGCUUAUACAUGUCAAUUAGAGAUGAAGCAUGGGCUACAAUGUGAAACGCACAUGGUGUGGGCUAGCUUAGCCACUUUAAUUCUUGUAUAUAUAAGCCAUACAUGGAUUGUGUGGUCUUCUACGGUCCAGUAUUAACCAAACCAGCCUCUUUACACGUGGUGGGCUGCUUUAAUUAUUUCUUUUUGAGAAAAUUUCCAAUCUAUUCAUUUUUAAUCAUAGCAGUACAACGAACAUAAAAAAUAAUAAAAGUUACACUCAAAUCCGUAGACCACCUAACGACGACUAGAAGCACCGAAACAAGCUGAAGGCGCGCCACCGUCACCAUCCCUCCCUUGCUGGAGCCGGGCAAAACUUAUUGUAGUAAAGAGUUGGAAAGUCGUCGUGCUAAGGUCUCAUAGGACCAGCGGAUCAGAACAGCAACCACUGCCGAUAAAGAGUAACGUAGAUCGGAAAGAUACACUCUGAGGACAAACGAAUGUAAACGAACGACAAGCAGAUCCACUGAAGACACAUCUUCACAGCCCACCGACAAUGCUAGGCGCACCACCAGGACUGGGGCUAAGCGGGGAGAACCUUAUUUCAUCGCCGCCGCCGUCUCGUCUUCCUGACCAGAACACAAACCCUAACAAAACUCGAAGAAACAUCUAAAAAACGGAGCCCUCCCACCGGCAAGGGCCAACGGAGAUGAGGUGGACCGGCGGCAGUUCCAACGGGAGGUAGAGAAACCCUAAUCUCUUUGUUUGGGGAGAAGGUGUGGGCUCCUUUAAUUGAAGCCUUUGUAACUGGGUUGUUCCAUGACAUAGAAAAAAAAUCAACUGAACCUAAAUAAAAAUUUAGGCAACUGAACAUAUAGCAAAAGUAUCAUUCCCAGCACUUGCACAUACAAGGUGUAUACAAGACAUUCGCGUGUAAACACCACACAUAGUUUAUUGGGUAGAAACAUCACAUGGCUUAAUUCAAAUGCAUCAGUAGUAGUAGGAGAAUUACCACGAGCGUGCGAUUGCAAGCGAUCAAGCAGCGAGGUAGGAAAAUUACCACAUGCACGUUCAUUAUUGUCCGCUGGCGAGGAUCGGUCAAAAGGCCACUUCGGCGUUGGCAAACUCCUCUCUCUUCUGUGUCAUAUCCG
rnacentral:lncRNA from 1 species